rnacentral:lncRNA from 1 species
AAGAGCGAGCAUCUAGCAAGCAAAGAUAGAAGUGAUUUCGAGGGUAUGGUCAUCUUGCCUGCAAAGUUGUCAGAGUUGACUUGAUCCUCAUAAGCGAACUCAAUGGGCUCCUCGUUCACGAACUCGUCUCCCGGCUCUACCCAAACAAGAACAACAAGCAAAAAGGGCACAAUCAACCACGUGCAAUGCUCAAGCAACAUGAUGCAAACAUGGUAUGAUAUGCGGGAUGUGGUAUGUGAUGCAUAUGCAAGAUUUGACAAGGAAUGUUUGAACCUGGCCUCAACUUGGAAAUCCAAGAGUGCCACUGGAAAGGUGAGGUGAUUUCGGUUGAAAUCGAUAUAAAGAUCACCGGAAUCAGAUGCACGGUUUGGAAAUGGCAAGCAAAACAAAUAUGGCGCCGGUCUGCGAUAAUCAGCAAGUGACCAACUAAAUGCAUCAAGACAAAUAUGCUACAGCACUCAAACAUGGCAACAAAAUACAUGGCAGGGAUCCACUCAUGAAGCUUGACAAAAGAUGAACACUGAGCUACGGCUAAUUCAUCCAUUAACAUGUUCAAACAAGCAUGGCAAAAGUGCAAAUGAUAACAGGUUUCAGACUUAGUGAAAUUAACACAAGUCUGGAAUUUAUCAUCAGGAAGCACACUUUAGAGCAUGAAAACUAUAUGCCACAGGAACUUAACAUGGCAAUGUAAGGCAUGGCAUGAAGCUACUCAAAGCAGUUAACAAAAGUCCCGUAGUGACCUUGAGCCAAAAGGGAUCAGAAAAUACAAUUGCAAGCAUGUGAACAUGGCAAAAACAUAAACAGAUUCAGACUUAGUGAAAAACUGGAGCAUGCAAAUCAGUCAACGAGUAGGCAUGUUUACGAGCUCGAUGCACUCACUACAGAGCAUGGCAUAACAAACUAAGCAUGCACCCAUCUAGAAGACAUGGCAUAGGAGCUAGACAUGGCAAGAACAACAUCAUAGCAUGCACGAAUCAAUAGCAACAUCCUCGGCAAAAUCGCUAAACAUGUCAACAAUCUGCCAGGAUCAUUUUAUAGCAAAAGUAGAGCUCGAUUGACUCAAGCUAGGGUGCUCCAUAAAUGCAAACAAAGACAUGAAUGGAUAGAGCACCAUAAUGUUAACAAAACAUCCUUACUGAUCAUCCUCAAAAGAGGCACGGAUCACUAGGAAACAACAUGCACAUAUGGCAUAGCAACAAAAUCAGGACAAGGACUUAGUGAAAUUCUAAGUCCCUGAAAUCAGCAUCAACGAUUACGCUACUUUGCACGCUUGUGCUAGUCACCACAAAUAUCACAAAAAUACAUGUCAUACACCCCUGUAAAGAUGGCAUGGCAUAUAACAAAACACAUGUAGAGCUCAGGAUCAUAGCAUGCACACAUUAAUCAUGGCAAAAUGACAAAAGGCCAUUUGCUGAAACAGAUCUGACAAAUUCAUCACAUAUCCCUCUUCCAACAGCAUUUCGGGCAUCAAGAUAAGCUCAAAUGAAAAUGAUGCAAUGAGAUGAAAUGAUGUACUCGUCGAGACGAACAUUUUGAUGUGCUACACGCACGAAUCGGAGCUACGAUGAGGGAGUUAUGGCAUGCCAAAGAUUGCAAAAAAACAUGUUGGAAUUAGGGUUUGGGGUCAACCGAGAGGUGGAUCUGGAUCUCAGAUCGAGCACUGUAGCGGCAGGUUCACGAUGUUCGUCGCCGAAGUCGCCGGAGUAGCCCUGUUCGCCGGAGGACGCCGAAGCUUGGCCGGAGGAAAAGGACGUCGGGGCGGUGAGGAGGCGACGCCGGCGCGGCNNNNNNNNNNNNNNNNNNNNNNNNNNNNNNNNNNNNNNNNNNNNNNNNNNNNNNNNNNNNNNNNNNNNNNNNNNNNNNNNNNNNNNNNNNNNNNNNNNNNNNNNNNNNNNNNNNNNNNNNNNNNNNNNNNNNNNNNNNNNNNNNNNNNNNNNNNNNNNNNNNNNNNNNNNNNNNNNNNNNNNNNNNNNNNNNNNNNNNNNNNNNNNNNNNNNNNNNNNNNNNNNNNNNNNNNNNNNNNNNNNNNNNNNNNNNNNNNNNNNNNNNNNNNNNNNNNNNNNNNNNNNNNNNGAGGAGCCGAGCCGGGAGGGCCCCGCACGGGCUCACGUGCCCGCGGGGUCGGCGGCGAUGUGGGCGCCCGGGCGGACGAAUCAGACGGUGACACGUGGCGGCGGCGAGGGGAAAACAGACAUGUCCGUCGGUGGUUCUUGUGUCCGGCGCGCGAGGAGAGGGGGAGACUAGGGUUUCGUCCGGAUUCGGGGAAGGGACCUAUAUAUAGAGGUAGAGGGAGCUAGGAAGCUCCAAAUGAGGUGCAGUUUUCGGCCACGCGAUCGUGAUCGAACGAUCUAGACGAUGGAGGGGUUUUUGGUGGGUUUUGGGCCAAAUUGGAAGGGUGUUGGGCUGCAACACACACGAGGCCUUUUCGGUCCCUCGGUUAACCGUUGGAGUAUCAAACGAAAUCCAAAUGGCACGAAACUUAACAGGCGGUCUACCGGUAGUAAACCAAGUCCGCAUGGCAAGUCUCAGUCUAAUCCGGAAAUGUUUAACCCCCACACACGAAAAGAGGUAGAAAGGACCACCGGAGGACAAAGGAGCGCCGGAAUACAAAACGGACAACGGGGAAAAUGCUCGAAUGCAUGAGACGAACACGUAUGCGAAUGCAAUGCACAUGAUGACAUGAUAUGAGAUGCAUGACAAAGACAACAACACACGGAGACAAAAACCCAACGGCGGAGAAAUAAAAUAACUUAGCGCCGGAAAUGGCAAGAGUUAGAUGAUCACGAUCUUGCCCUCCUCAAGUUGGACCACCUUUUUUGAUUGUGCACGGCCGAUCAAGACUAGUGGAUUGCUCCCCCAUACUCCACUAUUGGUGAGCCUCUCUUCGGCACAUCUUCACAAGUCCAUUGUGACCAUAAUGGAUGGUAGGCUUCAAGCACGUGAUCUCUUCGUGAUGCUCCACUUGAACUUGCACAACGAAACCUUGAUGACGAUCACCACUUGAUCUCAUCCUCCAUGGGUUAUACGACAUCUUCCCUUUGAUGCACGCCCAUGAAACACCUAACCCCACAAAGAACACUUAUGUAGACCAUGGGUUAGUACACAAAGCGUAAUGGACAAUGCUUACCUUACCAUCGGAUCACUUUAUCCCACUCGGUACAUCUUCUACGCUUUCUGUGUUGAUCAACUUGAUUCAUUCUUUGACUUAGUCUUGAUCAACCUUGAAGCUUAUCUUCUCCUUAAAAUAUUGAAACCAACAAAUGGUCUUCAAGAAAAGCCUAUGGACAAACCCUUCAAAUAUAACUCAUGGCAACUAUUUUUCCAUGGAGAUUGUCAUCAAUUACCAAAACCAUACAUGGGGGCACCAUGCUCUUUCAACGUAAGUGUCCAUUUAAAAAAGAAUAAGCACCUAUCUCCUAACAGUCGUAACAAGAGCCAGUCCAUCCCUCCCUCGCACCCUUUCAUUUUCUCGCUCUUGUUUAUAGCAUAAACAAAAUAAUCGAGAAUCAAAAAUCACCCUGAGAGAGCCCCACAUUGUUCAUUCAGCUGACACAAGAGACAACUAGGGUUUCCUCUAGUUUCGUUUUUAUCUCAUGUCAUUGAUUCCUCCCAUAUUUAUUGUGGAUAUGGUUGACUCCUCACUUCAAAAUAGCAUUAUCAAAGGCAUAGUGUCUAGCGAAUCGAAACUUUUUGUUUCGGUUUUAUUGAGUUGUAGGACAAUCGUGGUAUCAAGAGGGUCAAGGUUGUCGAGUGACGGUGCGAGAACACCCUAACAUAAACAGUAGCCUUCCAACACCUAGCAGCAAAAAAGAGGUCUUCAUUCUUCAUGUUUAUACCCCCAGUGCCCUGAUGGAUGUGCCCAAAGUUUCUGGACACCCCAUGCGCACAGAAUCUGUCGUGAGGCAACGAUCAUCUUGUGAGGGGCACCCUUCUUCCACCUCCAACCCUAGACCUUUUGCUCUUAUCUCUCAGGGGCUGUUUGGUUUGAGACUAAGUUUGCCUGAGGUUGCCACACCUUAGGUUAGGCAAGUUUGACCAACUUGAGUGGGUGUUUGGUUCAAGCCACACCUUAGGCAAGCCACACUAAGGUCCCACAUCACAUACACUCAAAAAGUGUGGCAAGAUUCCCUUAGGUUUGCCAACUUGUGGCUCUCAUUUUGAAGAACUAACCUUAGGCAAUUGUGGAAAUAUUGCAUGGCAAAGUGUGGCAUGGUUAGGCCUAGAACCAAACAGCCCCUCAAUCCCUCCACCCAAACACUUUCAUACUUUGAGGACUGAGGGAGCAAAGCCCGAUCAACAACUUGACUAAACCAAUUCGUGUUCCCAACAAGAUUUCUUCAUCAAAAACUUGUUACUCUUGGAGCUUAGGCUCCUCGUCAAUUAUGGUUCCUUUAAAAGCUUCUUCGCUUGUGGUGUGGCCCAGAGACGUAUAUAAAGGUGUGGUGGUCAUCUUCAAGACCAAUUCCAAGUGAUUUGAGACUCAUCCAUUGGAGCGGCUCGAGGAGAAUACAGUGAGCCACUUGGUGACGUUUCGGAGCCUUGGCACCGACACUGCUCCAACGGAGACUAGCACUUUCUCAAGGUAGUGUGAACUCGUGGAUAAAAUACACGUGCUCGACUCACUUGUGGUUACUCUUUCCCUGCACUUUACUUUGCAUUUGUAUACUUGUGUACUUGCUGAUUAUACUGUUGUACAAGUCACAUUCCUUCGAACUUGCUUGUGAUAUAGGUUGUGUUUGCAUUUUUAUAGAACCUUCUUUCUCCGCAAAUCCCUAAAUCUAUAAUUAAGCUUAAAGUUUGCAACCUCCUGUUCACCCCGUCUAGUGGACCGUAUCGAUCGUUUCACCUUCCCCUCCUCCUCUCCCUCACCGCCACCCGAGGAGGUCAUCGGCAAGGCCGCGGGUCGUGCGUGACGGUAACGACGAUGAUCGUGUCACUUCGGUCCAUCAUUACGUUUGAAACCCAGAUAUGAAUAUUGGCAAGUGUGAAGAUAAAACUCAGAUGUGGAAGCAACAUAACUCAGAGUGAUAUACAGAGGUAUCAUUCUAUUUGAAACUUACCCUAAAAUGAUUUGCACACUAGGUACGUGGACUUGGUCAACUACUACGGAUUUGCACACCUAGGUACGCGGACCUGGUCAACUAUUAGACGGCUUCCUCCAUCAGCGUGGACUUUUGCCACAUGGUAACACGUACAGUACAUGGAUCCGUUUGCCUUUCCUGUUCUAGCAGUUCUCUUUUGCUAUUCAACAGGGGUUAGAAUCUUAUUCCAAAAUCGAAAAGAAGGCUGGAUUCCUUGAGCACUACUCAACCAAACGGAGGAUUGGAUUCCAAGUUCCAGAAUCCCAAUCCGCGAAUAAUCAAGGAAGCCCUUUCCCCGUCGAUCCCCACUUCCCAGAGUCCUCGCGUCCUAUCCUAUCCCGCCCUGUCCACCCACGAACCCCUCCCCUCUCCAGAGGCCCACCUGUACACGGCACCCUAGAGCCGAAUCCCAACCUUCCAUCCCUCCCAACCCUAAAUCCGGCGGCCAGGACUCCUCCACGCCUCCCCUCAUCGCCCCCCGCCCCCCUCCACCUAUAUAUUCCGACCCGCAAGCCCAACCCGAGCCCAGAAACCGCAGACCGCACCGCCACCGCUCCCCAUCUCGAUCUAAAACCGAGGGUUUCGUCCAGCUCCGUCGCCGCGACCCAAACCAGAGCCCGCCCCACCCACCCCAGCCAGCCAGCCAUGCCGAAGAACAAGGGUAAGGGAGGCAAGAACCGCNNNNNNNNNNNNNNNNNNNNNNNNNNNNNNNNNNNNNNNNNNNNNNNNNNNNNNNNNNNNNNNNNNNNNNNNNNNNNNNNNNNNNNNNNNNNNNNNNNNNNNNNNNNNNNNNNNNNNNNNNNNNNNNNNNNNNNNNNNNNNNNNNNNNNNNNNNNNNNNNNNNNNNNNNNNNNNNNNNNNNNNNNNNNNNNNNNNNNNNNNNNNNNNNNNNNNNNNNNNNNNNNNNNNNNNNNNNNNNNNNNNNNNNNNNNNNNNNNNNNNNNNNNNNNNNNNNNCAGGAGUACGCGCAGGUGACGCGGAUGCUCGGCAACGGGCGCUGCGAGGCCAUCUGCGUCGACGGCACCAAGCGCCUCUGCCACAUCCGGGGCAAGAUGCACAAGAAGGUCUGGAUCGCCGCCGGGGACAUCGUCCUCGUCGGCCUCCGCGACUACCAGGACGACAAGGCCGACGUCAUCCUCAAGUACAUGAACGACGAGGCCCGCCUACUCAAGGCCUACGGGGAGCUCCCCGACACGCUCCGCCUCAACGAGGGCGUUGACGUCGACGGCCCCGAGGAGGGCGAGGGCGACAGCGACUACAUCCAGUUCGAGGACGAGGACAUCGACAAGAUCUAAGCCUUUUUUCCUCCUCCCUCGCCUAUACUUUGUGUUCUAUUCUGUUCUAAUAGCGUCUGUGUCGGUCGGUGGGCUGUUGUGGAUUGAUGGAUUUGGUAACGAGAAAUCGUUGUGACUUGAGGUGCCUAAAUAAUUGUUGGAUUAUCGUGUUCGUCGUAUUAUUAUUGUUUGCAACAAGCCAUGGGAUGAUUAUUAUUAUGGUGUUAAUAUUGUGGCUUGUGAUGUUAUACUCCUUGAUUGGUUUGCCGUAGUUUGGGAUCUUGCGGGAGCUUACUAAUCUGAUUGCACAUUAGCGUCCUUUAUCUACCUUGUAUGUAUAAAUUGAGGAACACUUGGUUCUUUGUCCUCUUCAAAAGAAUAACAAUUAUGUUCUGUCUACUGGUUUAAGUUCAAGGGACAAAAAUUGGAACUUAUGAUAGUAUAAUGUUUCUGAUGGCAUCAUUUGAUGAUCAUGUUACUAGUUCUAUGCUUUGUGUUCUUUCUGCUAAUUUGCCCACGGAUUGCCAGAGGCAAAAGAGGAGGAUCGGCAGGAAACAAUGGAUAACUUAGUUAUGACUAUCCUGUUGCUGAUUCCAUUGUUUGACGAUGAUCAUGCUGCUUAAGUCUACCUCUUGUUCUUUGUGCAGUUGGAUUUGCUAUUUCUAGUCUAAUUUAACCCUAGGCAGUGUCCAUAAAGAGACGGUGUCUAUCAAAACAGUGACAAGGACAUUUGAUGUUCUGUUUACUGAUUGAAGUUCAGGGGACAAAUUCUAACUUACUGGUGCCAUUAUGCGACGAUGAUCAAGUUACACUAUUUUUAUGCCUCCCCUGCGUUCUUUCUGCCAGUUGUGCGGUUGGAUUGGCUGUUUCACUCAAAAGUAGCAUCCUCCGUCCAGGCUUAAUGUUAUUAACCUGGUAAAUUGAAGUUAAAAGGGGAUUUUUGUGCAUAUCGAAAGAACAAUCCAUUACUACUUGGUUCAGGGAGCACAAGAUAACUACAUAUUACUAUGGGUGUAUUUAGGGCACAUCUAGAUGUGUUCUAGUUAUUGCACAUCUAAGUGAGUGAAUCAAGCACAGAAAAAAAAAAAAUAUCCACACGAAUCUCAGCGCAAGAUCAAUAAUAUAGAACUUAGAUGUGCAAUACUUAUGGCACAUCUAGAUGUGCUUUAACAAGACUGUAUUACUAUUUGUUUGUAAUUGUGUUUUCUAUUUUUUUAACAUAGUACAGAAUCCGGCCAUCUUAUGAUUGACGAAGUCACUACUUGAAUCUUAAUGUGCUGGUUCCAUCAUAAGAAAACUAACCAGCUGAGGUGCGUUCAGUUCACAAUUAUGGUUGUACGGUUGGAUUGGCUAAUGAUUUGAGGUCUGGUUGCUUGAGUAUAACUACUCUCUCCGUUCAUUUUUGUAAGUUGUUUUAGACAUUUAAAACAGCAUCUAAAACAGUUAAUUCCAGUGUUAAACGACUUACAAAAUUAAACAGAGGAGCAUUUCAGUCCUUGUAGCGACAAGGGCAUGGCCAUAGGAGGGCUGAGUUAAAAAUAGGUGGUUAAUGUAUUUGCAUUUGGAUACGAUCAAACCUUGUUCCAAUGUUGUCCGUAAAUGUUUAUGAUCCGAACGUUGUCUUUGUUAGUUUAUUAAUAACGUGAAAAAAUCAUUGUGCUUGUGAAUACAUAUAAACAUGGAGGUAAUGCCGUCAUUAAGCUCCAGGCAGAAAUCAUUGAUAGCCUAUCAAAGGAUUAACACAAACCAGUGCUUCGCAGGUACUCCCUUCGUUCCAUAAUUCUUGUCCUGGUUUUAGUUCGACCUGACCUGCUAGGCAAAUGCGGUGAAUCGAAUAGAUAUCUGAGAACCUGUCUAGUUCUAUCAAGCACUUUUAACACGAUUUGCGCUGCUUCCACCUUCCAGAAUAUCAUACGUGCAAUCAACCAGCAGUUAGAAAUAUUUUCCAUACCAUUAACACAUGCGUGGACAUAGAAGGUACCUAUCUCAGGUUACAUUGGACGACGAAAGCACCCAAUCUACAAUUGUUAGCAUCAGCGGAAGGAUGUAGUCGUACAAAUCGAAAGAGGUGUAGAAACAAUCUCCACCGUGUUUCUUAGGCUACUUAAUGUGAAAAAAACGAAGUACAUUUGUAAUACAACAUAACAGCUUGAAUAGGUAAAGAUCAGAGAAUAUCAUACACGAACACUUUACAAUAAAGACACAGGGCUUCAUCAGGGUAGUUGCAUACAACUGGAGUGCAUUCCAUCUAAAGUACACAGGCGAUUCCUGGAAACAAGAAUUAGACAAUCGGCGCCUAUUAAGCAUGCGACGGGAAGACGUGGCAAUGGCUCCAUUAGCCCGAAGGAAUGUCGUCUUGGACUGGGCAGUGGAAAGGGGACAAGCGUUAGGUACGUAAUUCACAGCGCAGAUGAUGAAUGAAUGAUCUGAGAGAGAGGGAAGGGGUGAGAGACACUCACUGCUAAGUAUGAACCCCUGGAGCAAGCUCUGAGCUUUGUCAGCCUGCUCGGGGGUACCGGAUAUUCUAACAACCUUUUCCAUGACUCCAGGCCUAUCUUCAGCGAGCGUGACGGACGCACCAGACAUCUGUUACCGACAGAGUUUGGAAAGUGAGAAUGGUGUAGAUCUAUCAUAUCCGUCUUUAAUUUGCUUAUAAAAUAUUCAGGAUAUACAGCACCUCGCUUAUUUGGGCAAGCUUGCUUCCAGCUCUCAUGCUGAGGCUUGCAACUGCACUCUGGGGUAUGACAACUUCUAAUGUGCUUCUAGUCACUAGGGGGACAGCAAAUCUGAUGGGCAGAAAAGUAAGGUGGUCAUGAAUCAACAAAGCAGAGAAACUGACAACGAUGAUACUGACUUGCCGCUUUGUAAAUUAGCAACAAAAAAAAACUUACCGCUUUGUAUUAGUUUGUCUUAUAUCAUCAUUAAUGCUGCUCCCUUGCUCAAACGAUCCACUUGCACUAAGUCCACUAUCCUGCAAUUGAAAAUUUCAUAUGUAUGAUCCACACAUGAUCAUCAGAAUGCAGGCAUAGGAAAAAACUAGAAGAGGAAUACGCACACUAGCUAUUGCACACAGUACAAAUAUUCACAUCAUAUAGCACAAAAGUUCCCUAUGAUUAUUAGUUAUUUAGGUAACUGUUUUGCUCUGCCAUUAAGAAUGCGACGCAGAUAGAAUAUAGCCAUAACUGAAAGACGGGAGAUUCAUACAGUAGCAAAGAAGAGACAUCAGGGGUACAAGUACUUAAAGGGAAAUCAUCAUUUGUUGCAUGAGUUCAGAGAUACCUUUGAGUGCCACGAAGUUGCCAUUUGUGGUGCUUGUUGGUAGAUAGGCAUUGGAAGGUCAUUUCCAGCAUAUAGUCGAGGUGAGCCUUUUGCUGGAGAAAUGGAUCCAUGUACAUUAAGGCUGCCCAUUUGGAUAGGAGCAGACAUCUCACGGUAUAUGUAACUUCGUAGUUUUGAAGUUACUUGCAUGAGAGCAUUCCGAGCAGCUCGAAUCUCUCCUACAAUCUGUAAAAACAUAAUGUGGUGAGCCUCACUAAUAAAUGGCCAAUGAACUUUCAAGCUCAAGUAUUAUAAAUUUUACAUUCAAGGAUGAAACAGACAAUAUUAGCAUCAAGCUUCAUAAUUCCUCAUAAGCAAGAAGCAAGUAAAAAACAGACCAAUUCCAGCUUGGUUCAAAAAACAAAGAACAACAAAAUCCAGCUGUAUUUCAGCAAAGUUCACUCUUAACUUAUUGACAGAUAAAGUCAAUCCCUCCCAAAUAAUUGACAUGCACUAAAAAAAAUACAUUUAUAUACAACCAUGCAGGUGUUUGCACAUGGAUCCACGCUACCUGGUUAAAUUCUCAAAUAUAGCAGAAGUGAAUGUGCACUGCCCAUGAAUACCAACCUGUAUGAGCUCAUCAGAUUCCAGGGCGCAAGAAGGAAGUUCUUCUCUUGGUAAUAUCUGUAUAUUUGCGCUAGUUUGUCUCUGUAUCUCAGAUAAUGAUCCAUCCCUCCCCUCAAAGCAAGCAAUUUCACUUGAAGGGACAAGUAACCUCGUUGUGAUAAUGUUAUCCUUGUCAGGGCCAAGAUCCACGAUAAAGGUUUGGAUGUGCAGCAAUGCUUCUUGAGCUGGAAAAAGCUCAUGGUCUGGGCCCUAUAUAUACAAAAAGGACACGUUAAGAAUAUUGAAAUGAAAGCCAUGAGGGAAACAAGCGAUCCCCCACAUUUCAGUUACAGAUGAUGGUUGAUGCAAACUGUCAGGCAUUCCCUUACAUCCAUGCAAGCACAAAACACUUCAACGAAAAUAACCUUGAGUAUUCAAAAUGAACAGAGAUUAUACACGACAGAAGGCCAAACUAAGGUUACACGCAAGCAGAUACUGUUGUGACCAUUAGGCAAAGAUACGAGGUGCCUUUUUCUUCAAUUCGAGUCGCGCCGCAGCUCUGAAGAUUGGCAACAUAAUAGAUAAGGAAAACGUUUAAAACCAAUCGACUGAUUUUUGGUUGCCAUAAACCGUGUCUCGACGCGUCCGAUCGACUCAGCCGUGCGGUGCUCGUUUCUCGCGCAACUCGCGUUACUCACCAACCACCCAAAGUUAUCUCCUUAUCUUCCGCGAGUGUGAGCCACCCAUUCUUCUUCUCUCCAAAACGUGAUCCACUUUCUUCGUCUCUAACCUCUCGUUCUUCUCCCUGUGAGCUUUGCUGCCCACGCUGCUAUAAAAAUAUACGAUGCGAAGACGGCGGCCAUGUUGAAACACAACACGUCGAACGUUGUGAUGAAAAACUCCCGAUGCUGCAGAGAUGCUUCGAUGCUGCGAUGCUGCACCCGUCGACAGUUGCCGGCGCUGUGAUGCAGCGUUCCGCGGUGCUGCGACACGGCGCUCGUUGUCGGCCGCCGGCGCUGCAAUGCAGCCCUCGCUGGCGUUGCACUGCUAUGCGGCCCGUGGUGGUUGCCGGUGAUGUGACGCGAUGGUCGUCGGCUGCUGGUGCCGCAACGCAGCCCUCGCCGGCGCUGCCAGUGCUGUCGGCGCCCCAACGAUGCUCCAUCGCAGCAGCGACGACCCCCCGGCGAUGUUGCAUUGCAGCUCCACCGCGGCACCGGCUCUAUCGCAGCAGCGGCGACCACCGGCGAUGUUUCAUUGCAGCUCCACUGCGACACUGGCUGUGCUACAUGCCGCCGCCGACAAUUGCCACUCGCAGGAUCUAUGAUGACGUCUUCUGCGAUGGAGCGGUUCUUGUUUGUGUUGCAAAAGAUGCUGCGGGGGCUACGAGCAUACUGUGAUGUGAGGGAGGAACUGACAACCUUGAUUAAGCGUAUCUAACGGCAGAUAAGGCAGCUGAUAACUGCAAGUUAUCAGCCUGUUGAUGGGUAGCAGCCGCCAAUAGAUAAUUGAACAACCUAAUUAGCUAACAUAUCAUAGUAUGGCUUAAACUAAACGACUUCUCAACUCCCAUGACUGGUGGAAAACACGAAUUACAUGAAUUGACUAAUAGCUGACCCUCGAACUCUCACCAGGUAAUAACUAAAAAGUAAAAGAAUAUUCAAGCAAGGUAAUUCCCAAUUAGCAACGUUACUUUUGAUCAGCUAGCUAGCUACUAGCUGUGUAUGAGAAUUGAACAUGUUGUGUUGCGCAGGAGUAAUUUAACCACAAAACCUGCUUAGUCCAACUGAAAUGUGAAGUACUAAUUAACUAACACACACCGAAAGGAUUUUUCACUUCAUUUAAUUAUUAUUAAUGUGCAUCAAAACGAACAACAAGUAUAAUGGAACUAUGCAAAUUUCCUUACGUAGACUUCAACACAUAGUGAUAAUAUAGUACAGCCUUAUCGUGAACCAUGAAACAAUUUACUUCCGCCAGUCCAAGAGAGAUACUGCUUCUGUAAGUAUGCUAGUUCAGUUCUUUGACAUCUGAUCAUUGUUAGUUUACACCCACUUGCCCAGCAAUUUGAAAAGACAAUGGUUGUGAAAGUAAUAAUUCUCAAAACCUUGUAAUCUCAUAAUUGUACAUAUAUAUAACAAAAGAACUAAUAGUUACACGGGUCCAAAAUGAUGUAAAAUUUUAAGUUCAUAAUCAUGCAUUCUGUUCCAGCAUUACUAUAAAUCACUUUAGGCAGAGAUAGGCGAAAGAAUAUUAGAUGAUGCAGCUGUGCAUGGUACCCCACGACGAGGUGAAUCACCAACAAGGCAGAUUAAGUGAUGGCUGGUGGUCUUUUGUUCGCGCUGCCCAUGUUGGAUUUGGAUGGAUGAUGCUGUGGCUGUUUUAGUUCCUGCUCUUGUCUUGUAUUUGCCAGUUCGGCCUUUGGAUCUGUAUUUCUAUCAGUACUUCUUUCUAGUCUAGACAUUGCUAUGGUGUUGUCAGGUUUUUUCCCCAUAAUCUAUAUUCUGAUUGCAGGCAUGGAUAGUGGGUUUCCUGACGAUGCCCGAGCUCGCUACUUCCCCUCUCUGCUCCUUCCUGUUAUCUCUAUCCGUGGAACUGUGUACUUCCGUUAUGAAAAUUAAUGGAAAGGGGAGUAGCCCGGUUAAAAAAAGGAGAAAGAAUAUUACAUGGUGUUAUGUAGCUCUGAAGUUGACAUGUUCACUUAUCAUGGUGGGUUGAUCUGAGGAUGUCAUGUGUUAACACUUGGCUAAGGCCUAUUCCAUGAAUUUAUUUCCCAAAAUAUCCAGAAAUUCUGUUCCAUAAUAUCUUGAGAUCUUUGAUUAAAUCUUGCAUUUUCUAAAAGCAAGGGAGUAAUGAUCCAACAGCUUUCCACACCUCUAAAAUGUUUUCUAGCAAGCAAAGUGAAAUUGUGUUGUUUCAGGAGAUACCAGGAUCAUACCCUGAUACCCAUUUGGCAAUGGUGCAUUGAAUAUCAGAAGAUAUAUUGAGUGCAAAAUUCCACUGGCAGUUUAGGAUUGGAUGAACAUGGUUGUUUUCAAGUCAUUUUUAGUGCGAAAGCACCAUAGAAUAUAGUUUUGAAGAUAUUUAUCAUCAUGAUAUCAACAAAGUUUAAGAAUCUAGCAGUUUAGCACAGAUCUUUUUUGUCAGGAUUAAAAGAAUGCCAAUGUGUUCACUUCUAGAGUGAUCAAACCAAGUCCAUAUGUUGAUAGAGUUGUAACUUCUCUGCCUGGAAAAAAUGUGCCAGUUUUUAACACAACAGGUUCUGUUGGAUGUCCCGGCCGAGGUCCAGUGCCCUGAGAUUAGGACGCAGGUUGGUGAUGUUUCAGCGGUUGAGCCAAGGACAGAGUGCUAUUCAGAGGGUUUGACCAAGAGAGGAGGAAGAUUGGAGAUAACUUUUGAAUUGCCGUUUAACAUACCAUUAUAAUAAAGGGAACGCCUAACAGAUUGAACUAGAGAUAUGAUGCAAACUCACUCUUUUAAAGUAAAAAAACUUAUGUCCUAACUUAAGCCUAACCUAAAUUCUUAUGUCAGGCUGACCCUGGCCAGUGCACUGGCCGUUACAGCCCUGGCCAGAAUGAUCCAAGUGAACUAUCGGCUGAUAUGUUCAAAAAUGCUACUUCAAGUUUCACCUUUCCACGGCGACAUUAUCUCGGUAUCUUUUAGGUACUUACACAAACAAACCAGUAUGAGAUGAUGUAAGUUCAAAAAAAAAAACCAGUAUGAGAUGAUGUAACUACCACAUGUGGUGUCUAGUAGCAUGGGUAGUAUACGAAAACACCUCAUUAAGCAUUCAAAUUUCAGAACAAUACGUAGGGUGAUAAAUUAGAGGGAAAUAAGUAGUGCCAUUUACCUCUCUUGAUGUAAUGAUUAGAGUCCUUUCGUCAGAUCCAGCAAUAAGAUCAGUAAGCCUAACAUCAACACCAACUUCAGCCUGUAACAUAUCUAUUAUUCCAUCUCGUGAUCCAACCAAACUGCUAGCCUUGUCAUUCGGGCAAAGGAUUCGAAAUAUGAUUUCAUCGAAUGGAAUCUCUGGAUGUUCAUUGAACUUGCUACCAUUUGAAUCAAACUCAUAUCCUGGUGGCUCCAUGCUACCAUUAUUUCUAAUUUGAUCAAAUCGGGGAUAAGGUUCUUCAAAUGCAGGCAUCUGCUGACCACCACCCAGGUAUUCAUCAGCCUGAGAAAUACGAUGCUCGGGUGAAUUUCGUCCACGAAGAAAGGGACCACGAUCACGGUGUAAGCUUUCCUUUAAACGGUCAGAGAUAAUCGCUACAGCCUUUUUAACACAAUUUCCUUCUCCAACAACCUGUAAUAAAAUAUCAUGAGAAUAAUACACAUGACAAUGGUAACUUACGGUGAAAAGAAAGACCGGGAACCAAAAAUGUAAUUCAUCCUGCCAUGCAACUAAAAUCACAAUCAUAAUCUCAAUAUGGUGUUUUUCUCUCGAGAAAAUACAAAGGUUGUGCCUCGAUGCAUUGAUAGAUUGAUAAGAGUUCAAUUGUACAAGACUAAAACUAGGCCAAACACACGGCCACUCAAGACAAGACCACAAACAAUCGCAAGACAGGCAUUACAACCGAUGCCACCAAACAAAACCUGGCCUAGAUGCCAUCCACACAAGUUCACGGGACGCAUCCCCCGCCACAGGGAGAGAGAAUCCUACUCUGCAAAGAAGGGCAGAAUUUGGCCGCUCCUGCUUUGGAGAAGACAAUAAGUUGAUGGCAUUAAGAAAUAUAUGAUGUACAGAUAGUCCUCCACCAAGCAACCAGCAGACUAGAGUCACUUAUUUAAAGUUGACGUGUAAGGAUUCAGAAUGGAACAGUUAGUGGGCGGGUGUGUCAUGUUUAAGCCAGCAUUAUAAGUUUAAACAAGCAGAAAAGGAUCCAGAAUGAAUGCAUAGCUACCGGCCUACAACAAUUCUUGAGCAGGACACGUCUUGCGAAUGGGUGGUCACUCAAUGGAAUUGUGAGAGCUAGAAACAAAAAUGUUAAAGGUCACUAUGAAAACCUAAUUUCGAGGCACAUAGCAGAUGACACAUUCACCCACUGACUUAUGAGAGGAGUUGAAAAUUCAUUUGUUUGAUUUGUGUUUGGUAUUGUGCUUCUUAUAUUGCUUACAUAAGAGGAAUAUUCAGGCUCGUAUAGGAAAUGAAUGAAUUCACUCUUUCCCUGUACUAAGCCGGUGAUUAUCCCCAUACCACUGCAAUUUCACUGUACAUAGAAGAUGAGAAUGGUUCGUAGCAGAACAACAUGAUUGCACACAAGUUUCUCCUUGUUUUAUCUCCCCACAUGAUGGUUUUCUCCUGAGUGAUUCAAUGCGGCAAUGCCCAUGGAAAAAGACAUGAACAACCCCCACAUGAUGAUUUUCUCCUGAGUGAUUCAAUGCGGCAAUGCCCUUGGACAAAUACAUGAACAACUUAUCUCCAAUGAGAAUAGCACCCCGACCAACUAUGAAACUGAAUCUUGAUUUAUUUUUUUGCGCGGUCAGAAUCUUGAUUGAUAUCUCUUCAGUCUCAAGUACUUGAAAACAAGGAUGCCAAAACUUGUGCACUGGCUUACUUCCCGCGCCUCCUCGCAUGGAACGCCGCCAGAAGUAGUUGGCGUUAGGGUUCGGGCCGCCACCAUACUUCUCAAUGGAAGGGCAGCCAUGGCACUAAAAGCUACAUAAAUCUCAAGGUACACAGUAUGAGGCAUUACCCACUAACUUAAAGAGCAGUUGAACAUUCAUAUGUUUGAUUUGUCUCCGGUCCAAGUCUUCUCCAACACUUAACAUAAUUGUUAACCCACAUUUGUAUCCUUUUCUUUAGUUCAGCUAUAAUAGUUUAGAUAGAAUGGUGCAGUGCUAAUACCAAUGUUAUAUCCAAUCAAAAUACCAAUGUUGAUGAUCUCUUAUCAGAAGAAGAAUUGAAAUAUUUUUACAACAUUGUAGCAGGCACCAUACCUGCACGACCUCCUCCGACAACGAUACACAUCGCGGCAUGUUCUGCUCGCGAGGCAGGAUCCUGAUGUGCGUCUUGGUCUCGGACCUCAUCUGCUCGAUGAUCUUGCCACCCUUGCCAAGCAGGCAUCCCACAUGCUGCCGCGGCACGAUGAGCCGGGUGGUCACCUUACCGCGGUCCCUGGCGUCCUUGCCCCUGGGCCCGUACUCGCCGUCCUCAUCGCCGUCGUCAGGCUGCGUCUCCAGGAUCCGCCGGUGCACCAUGAGGAGCGCCUCCUGCGCCGGCGAGAACAUCGGCGGGCGGCCAUCCGCCUCGCGUGGGACGCCGUCGGCCGUCUCGAUGACGCGGACAGGGUCCCCGGGGAAGGGCGGGUGGAUAGUGAUGAUCGCGCCACUGUCAUCCUGGGCGUUGUUAAUGAAGCUGGCGGGGAAGCCGUAGGUCUUGGACUCCGGGCACAGGAUGCGGAAGGAGGUGGUCUGGCCGGGACCCCCGCCCCCCGCCGCCGCGGAGGAAGCGGGCGGCGGCGGGGGCGGGAGAGGGGGCGGUGCGGCGUCCGGGGGAAGGAAGCCGCCGCGGCGGUCGGAGGCGCCGCCGCCGCCCCCGGGGGGUCCGCGGCGGUGGUAGUUGGCGUUAGGGUUCGGGCCGCCGCCCCCGCCGCGGCGGUCGAAUCGGGGCUUGGAGCGGGGCGGCGGCGAGUCCUGGUCGUAGUGGUACCCGCGCUUCGAGCGGGAGCGAUCCAUUGCUGGGAUUCCAGGAGCUUCGCGUUCGUUUUUCUGUUCUCGUUCGAUUUGAUUUGAAUCCCGUUGGAUCGACGCGAUGCGAUGCGAUUCGGAUUUAUUAGGGUUUAGAGAGGUUGGGGAAGGGAGGGGAGUUGGCUGACAGGGAACGCGCCAUGGGAAGCAGAGGAUGGGGGCGGUGCGCGGUCGGAUCCAGACAUCCGGAUUCCCUACACAAGCUCGCUGUACUAUUAUAGUAUAUAAAUUUAGUGAUAUUUUUCUUUUCUUGUAGAAACUUUGUUCUAUUCAAUCAACUUGUCAAGGCACUACAAAGAACAUCAUCGGUAGCAUACAGAUCACUAAGUCCUUUUUUUUUGAAGGUCACUGGGGAGGGAGAGAACUCCCCCACCUGAAUUGUAUUCAAAUUGCCUAUAAGGCUUCGCAGCCUUUUGCAGGAUGGGUUCAAGCGAACCGGAAUUACAGGGGGGCACAGAAGGAGAAGAGAUAAAGCGAAAACAGCACACGCCACAACAAAUAGACAGGGGAGGACAAAGAGGGAAAACACGCCCCGACACAACACAGAGCACCACCAGUGAGAUCGAACGGCAUUGGCCAGCCGAGACCAAGCCAAGGCACUGCACCAUCGACGCAAUCGGAGGCAUCACGCAACCAAGACUGCACAACGCCACGACACCACCUACGUCGGGGGUGCAUUCGAACGGUCACGCGAGGAUGAGACGACACCACGGCGCCUGUGUACCGCAGGCAAAGUCGGCAUCGCCAAGCAGACAAACCCAUGACACUGUACCGUCGACGCACUCGAAGGCAGCACGCAACCAAGACUGCACAACGCCACGACACCACCUGCGUCGGGGGUGCAGUCGAACGAUCACGAGGGGCCGAGAUGACGCCACGACACCUGUGUGCCACCGGCGAAGUCGCUUGACAUCGCCAGGCAGAGACGCACCAAAGAGCGCAGGAGCAAGAACACAAGAAGAACACCGCCAAAGAGGGGCUCCAACCACCGUCGACCCCAAACCGGCCGCACCACCACCACCAUCAGCCACCCACCACCGCCAACCAACCACAUAAGCCGUCGGUUACCACCCACAGUCAAUGUCUCCAAGACGACGCCUCCAAGAAGGUAGCGACGUACACGACGCCGUCGUCGCCCGAUCCAGCAAACCAGAUCAUGGACUUUCGUCCGGAGACCCCAGACUCGAGGGAUUUGGGUGAAUUGGACUCCUCAGGAACGCCCCUACGGGGAGGAGAAUGACACCAAAAAGCAUCGCGCGUCACCGGCAUCGACCGAGGUCUCUGCAAGGUUUUCACCCGGAGCCAAACACGAACGCCUUGCCUCAAAAUCCGAAGACCGAGUCACCUCUGGCCGCCGCAGCAGGCCCUGGGAGGGGAGAGGAGCACCCCCACUGCGCCACGAGAAGAGGGGCCGCAAGAGCCGUCGCCAUGAAGCCUGGGACCCCCUCCACCUCCACCCUCACAUGAGCUGGACCAGCCGGAGCCGGCAGCAGGCACCACCGAUGCAGAAGCGCAGGAUGGCGGGAGGGAGGCCGUAGGACGCGGUCGCUCGCCCAGAUCUGGAGCCACGCAAACCCUCCAAAUCUGGGCCAGAUGUACGCGCGCCCGCACCAACCCAGGGCGAGCCCGGCUCCACCGCACGGGCCGCCCAGCAGCCAACACCGGCAAACCCCGAGCCGCCGCAACUCGAGAGCCCGCCUAGCCGGACAAGCCGCGCACCACCGCGAGAUCCAGCAGCCGCCAGCCGCCAGGAGCUCCCCGCGCGGAUAAAAAGGGUUGGUCCCACCGCCGCCAGCUGCCAGCGGGCUUUGCCCAGUGACGUGUGCCGGCGGCGGCGAGGGAGGAGCGGGAGGAGGGGGUGGGCUUCAACGGCGGGGGUCGGGGGUCCGCCCGAGUCGCCUCCAGAGGAGACGACGCGGGGGCGAGGUCAAAGAAAGUUGAAUGAAUGAUUGAUUGAGCACAAUUUUUUCCUAAGUCCUUCUUUGAUUCAUAGGAUAGGAAUUUUAUAGGAAUAGGAAAAUCAUAGAAAGUGAGAUGCCAUGCAUGUCAAUUCCUACAGAGAAAGAGAUGUCAUUUGAUGCAUAGGAUAUGACUUUUUUCAUUGAGUCUAUGCUAAUGUUCUUUUUCCUCCAAAAUAUGAAGGAUUAAUUUCUAUCCUACAUAGGAAUAAGAAUCCAUUCCUACAAACCAAAGGGCUUUAAAAGACUUUUUCCUUUGCAAAUCCUACCCUAUAGAAUUCUAUAAAAAUCCUACAAACCAAAUGAGGCCUAAAUGGGGAGUUUUACAGUAUGUGAAACGUACCUUACAUUUUCAAUAUUGAUGAUGGUAGUUUGUGUUAUUAUGACUGACUAGAUAACCGUAUCAUGUGUUGCCAUGGAGUAAAAAAAAUACGGAUCAUCCAGAUGUAUGUUACAUGUUAUUUAUGAUGACAUGUGUUUUCCAAUUUGUAUGGCAACAACAUUGAUUCUUUCCCGCUUCUUUAAUGCUUGAAAAUCACCAUGUCUCCUUGCCCCUAAUCUUUUCUUGCGUGAAGACAAAGCAAUAUCUUUCGCUUGGUCCCUCUUACCCCUCAGCUUGCCAUUGCCUUUACCCCUUGCUCUAGUAGAGUCGUCGCUUCAAAGUCUAUCACCUUGCGAGAGAUGAUAGCGUGUUGUAUCUUUGGUUAAUAUAAAUGAGAUGUUUCUAACUAAUCACAAUAGAUAAAUGACAUAUUGAAUAAAAGCAGUCCAAUGCAAAAAGGUUGACAAUGUUGGCUAGUGAUUGGUUAUCAAUUUUUUCCUGACCUACAAAAAAAUGUCAAGGCUGCCAAAUAUUGGUACUCCCUCCAUUUUAUAUACAAGUCUACAAACUUAAAUUAUAGGUAGCAAGGUAAAAUUUAAUACAUGUUUGCAAUCCAGUUUUUUCUUUGUUUACUGGGAUCAUUAAUACACCGCAUGCAUGCAAGAAAACUGGAUGGAGAAAGUAACUGAGUAUCAUUAUGACUGCAUGCAUGUAAGUAUUAAAUACAACUCCCAAUGACAAUGCUUGUCUCUCCUUAUUUUUCAACGGCAACAAAGAUGCUCCAGCACAUGGUUAAUACAACUCACAAUCACCACCAAUUACUUAGUCCAAGUCCCUUCACUAGACACCUCACACAGUAAUUCGCCUUGCGAGCAAUUGUCCUUAGUUUGGCUCUAGUUAAUCAUGGAGAACCUCGAGCACUCCCCUUGGCUUCUUGGGUUACACACAAUUAAAUUGCAAAUUACAUUAUUAUCUACAACAAUAUCACUUGCAGAGGGAAAAGCCCUUUUUCAGCAGGGCCAUGAGGGCCUAACCGCGGGAUCACGCUCUAGAGUCCUGUAGCGGUGAACCCAGAGGCCGCGAAACCAACGAGGAUCUUCGGAGAGGGAGUGGAAAGAGGGCUCGGAGCCCAUCCCCUCCAAUAUCUUUAUCUUCUCCAUUGUCGUCGCUGCGCCGUUCCUGCUAGUCGCGCGACGGGGUGCCAGGAUCUGGAGGCAGUGACCCCAGGCAGGGGGCUCCACGAGGAAGAAGGCACCAGCGACGACGAAUUCAGAAGUCGAGGUCUGCCCCAGGCAGUGAUGGUUCUCGAUGCCAAAGCCGUCGUAAGUUGAAAUUUAUCUCCGUCUUUCUUUUCUUUUGUUGAAGAAGUUUUUCUCUGGGACUGAACCGAGUAUGUCUUGAAUGUCUUCAGAUUUCCCAAGAAGGCCCAUACCACCCCAAGCAGCAAGGUUGCGCCAGAAGUCCCGGAGCCCGCAGAGCCUGAGGAGCUCGUGAUAAUAGGGCCUGAGGAGGUUUUGGUGCAUGGGCCAUUGAUGUCUACUACACAACUUGUUCUUAUCGACUCGUGUUGGGCCUCCAAGCGCGGAGUUUUGUAGGACAGUAGAAAUUUUCCCUCAAGUCGAUGACCUAAGGUUUAUCAAUCCGUGGGAGGCAUAGGAUGAAGAUGGUCUCUCUCAAACAACCCUGCAACCAAAUAACAAAGAGUCUCUUGUGUCCCCAACACACCAAAAACAAUGGUAAAUUGUAUAGGUGCACUAGUUCGGUGAUACGUCUCCAACGUAUCUAUAAUUUUUGAUUGUUCCAUGCUAUUAUAUUGUCAAUCUUAGAUGUUUUAUAUGCUAUUUUAUAUGAUUUUUGGGACUAACCUAUUAAGCUAGAGCCCAGUGCUAGUUUCUGAUUUUCCUUGUUUUUGAGUUUUACAGAAAAGGAAUACCAAACGGAGUCCAAUUGACGUGCCAAUUUUUGAUGAUUUUUAUGGACCAAAAGAAGCCCUGGAGUAAAAUAGUUGGGUCAGAAGAGUCCCGAGCCAGCCACGAGGGUGGAGGGCACGCCCUACCCCCUGGGCGCGCCCCCCGCCUCAUGGACGACUCGGAGACCCCCCCCCUGAUGUGAGACCGAUGCCAAAAAAUCCUAUAAAUACAAAAAACCCCAAAAAGAAACCUAUAUCGAUAGUGCUGCAGCCGCAAGCCUCUCUAGCCACCAAAAACCAAUCGGGACCCUGUUUUGGCACCCUGCCGCAGGGGGGAUCCAUCAUCGGUGGCCAUCUUCUUCAUCCUGGCGCUCUCCAUGAUGAGGAGGAAGUAGUUCACCCUCGGGGCUCAGGAUAUGUACCAAUAGCUACGUGUUUGAUCUCUCUCUCUCUCUCUCUCGUGUUCUUGAUAUGGCAUGAUGUUGAUGUACCGUGAGCUUUGCUAUUAUAGUUGGAUCUUAUGAUGCUUCUCCCCCUCUAUCUUCUUGUAACGGAUUGAGUUUUUCCCUUGGAAAUUAUUUUAUGGAUUGAGUCUUUAAGGAUUUGAGAACACUUGAUGUAUGUCUUGCAUGAGCUUAUCUAUGGUGACAAUGGGAUAUUCAUGUGAUCACUUGAUGUAUGUUUUGGUGAUCAACAUGCGAGUUCUGUGACCUUGUGAACUUAUGCAUAGGGGUUGGCACACGUUUUCGUCUUGACUCUCCGGUAGAAACGUUGGGACACUCUUUGAAGUUCUUUGUGUUGGUUGGAUAGAUGAAUCUGAGAUUGUGUGAUACAUAUCGUAUAAUCAUACCCGCGGAUACUUGUGGUGACAUUGGAGUAUCUAGGUGACAUUAGGGUUUUGGUUGAUUUUGUGUCUUAAGGUGUUAUUUUACUACGAACUCGCUCGGGCAUUCCAUCGAACACCUCGUGUGCAUAGGAGGUGAGCUAGAGCACCACAAAGCUCUCUCCUCGCCGGCCAGGAAAAACAGAGCAGUGGGAGUGCUCUGCUCGCGGGCGAGGGGUAUAUAUAGGCAAUUAAUUGGUCCCGGUUUGUGGCACGAACCGGGACUAAAGGGCAGCCUUUGGUCCUGGUUCAGGCCACCAACCGGGACCAAUGGUGGUGGGCCAGGAGCGAGGCACAUUGGUCCCGGUUCGUCCCUAUAAUAAUCUCUUCAUUUGUUCUCCGCUAUUAGUGACUUUGGAGUGACUCUUUGUUGCAUGUUGAGAGAUUGUUAUAUGAUCUAAUUAUGUUAUCCUUGUUGAGAGAACUUGCACUAGUGAAAGUAUGAACCCUAGGCCUUGUUUCAACGCAUUGCAAUACCGUUUUCGCUCACUUUUAUCAUUAGUUACCUUUCUAUUUUAUAUUUUCAGAUUACAAAAACCUAUAUCUACCAUCCAUAUUGCACUUGUAUCACAAUCUCUUCGCCGAACUAGUGCACCUAUACAAUUUACCAUUGUAUUGGGUGUGUUGGGGACACAAGAGACUCUUUGUUAUUUGGUUGCAGGGUUGUUUGAGAGAGACCAUCUUCAUCCUACGCCUCCCAUGGUUUGAUAAACCUUAGGUCAUCCACUUGAGGGAAAUUUGCUACUGUCCUACAAACCUCUGCACUUGAAGGCCCAUGUAACGCCCCGAGACCGAUGUGCCAGGUGUCGUCCAGUUAUUCGUUGUUGUUGCCAUGUCAUCUGCUUGCGUGUUGCAUCUUGCCAUGUCAUCAUGUGCAUUGCAUCAUCAUUUUUUUAAAAACUUGCAUCCGUCUGGGUUCCCCCGUUCUUUCCGUUGUCCGUUCUGAGCCCAGACACACUUGCACGCGCCCGCGGCAUGUCCGAAAUAGUAUUUUAUAAGUGGCCGGAAAAUGUUCUCAGAAUGGGAUGAAAGUUGGCGUGCGGUGUUGUUUUGUUGUUAGUAGACCGCCUGCCAAGUUUCAUCGCGUUCGGAGUCCGUUUGACGCCCCAACGGAUAACUAUAGCGGCAGUAUAGCCGGUCUUUUCAUCGGAUGUUUUCGGUCUCCGAAAACAGUCGCCGGGCCUCUCUCUCUUCUCUUCUCUCAGCUCGAGCCCUUCUGCAUAGCCACGAGUUCCAACCGACCCCUCACGUGCGCGUCCGAAACUUCCCCGGACCCGACCCAGACUGUCGCCACCGUUGUGUCCGGAUCAUCCCCAAACAUCUACAAAACGUCAUCGUUUUCUUAUUUGGGCUCCCUAGCCUAUUUUUCCCGACCGUCCAGUUAUGAUCGGAGGGACGGAUUAGCCCUACCCAAAAAUCCUUCUGCUAUAUAUAUGUCAGACCAAACCCUAAAACUAGGAUAUUUGCCCCCCUCAGCCGCCGCCACACUCCACCAAAUCCCCAUCGGGAUCUUCCCCAAUCCAGUUCCUCCUUGUUUUCCUCUCCUGCCAGAUCCAACCAGCGGCCCCGACCAACUCCCUUGAUUUCCACCGUCGCCCAACCACAGCAAAGCUGCGCCUCCUUCCCUGCCCUCCUAUCUCUUCGUCGUCUCUUUCGGUCUCUCUCGCUCUUUCUCAAAUUCUCUCUCUCUCUUGCCAGGUACAGGAGCAACAGGAGGUCGCCCCUGCUUCCAUGGCCACCGUUUCCGUCACCGUCUCAGGACCCGCCAUGGAGGACCCCGUCACCCGCCAAGUACCUCGCCGGAGUACCCAACCAGGCCAUGACCUCGACGCCCUCCUCCCUUUGUUGUCUCUCCUAACCACUCAAACCCCCUCCCGUUUCUCUCUGUCAGGGGACCGAAGACAUGGCCGCGCCUCUCUUUGAACUCAACUACCAUGGCCGUCUCGACCCCCUGCUGCCUCGAGCGCCCCCGCAGGACCUCGCCGGACCACCAAGCGGCAACCUCCUGAGGUUCCCCGUGCCCCAUGCCUUUCCUUUCUUCUCCUUCCUCCUGCAGUUCUUCCUCACCGUCUCUCUCUGUGAACCCUCUCUCAUUUAUUCAGUAGCAGCUCAUGUCGCAGCUACAGUUUGCUCGACCCCCCUGCCUCGAGCGUGUUGACCGUGCCCCUCCUCGUUGCCAUGGAUCCGCGCCAAUCUCCGCCUCCCCGCUCCGAUCCGCCCGUUCCAGCCGGUUCUCGCCGACCCCGUCGCCAAGACCCCUGCCGCUGUCUUCUACAUCGCCUGAUGUUGCUUCUGUUCUUCAGAAGCGAGGACGAACACGCGCCUCGCCUGCACCCAUUGACCGCGCCACCCCAUCUCCUCGUUCGAUCCAGCGUGCCAGCGCGCCUCUAGUUUAGGCCAAGGCCCAACACCUCUUCACCCCAGCCAUAAACAGGCCCCAAGGCCCAAUGUGAGCAGCACCCUGGCCUUCCCCCUGUUGGGCUACCCAGAUUCGGCCCAUUUCUUUUUUUUCCCCGCUGACGAAUUUCCUAAUUUCCAAUGCAUGCAUAAUUACAUGAGGAUGCCAUUAUUUUAAUUUGCUCACAAGUUAAUAACCGUGCAUCGGUUUAAAACAAACUUAAUAUGAAAGUUGCUUAGAAUUUUGUCUAGUUUAAUAAUAUGCAACUUUCAUCCAUGUUUAAAAUGUUUAAAAUGCUGUUUGUUUAAAUUUGUUUAAAUAACUUGCUAAAAUGCUUUAUUUCAUAACUAAAUAACCGUAGCUCUGAAUUAAAUAAUCUUUAUAUGUAAAUGGGGUAGAAAAAUGCCUAGUUUAACAUGGUGGACUUACUUUGCAUGUUUAACAACUCUAAAAUAAUGUUUAGGGCAGAACAGUACCAAAUCUAUAAUAUGCUCAUGAGGAGUUUCUGGAAUUGUUGUUCGUUGCUUCCGGCCUCAUUUAAACUUGACUAGAUAGGUAGUUUACUUUGCUUCACCUCUUGCCAUGCUAACAACAUUUAAUCUUGUUGAGUACAUAAACGAGAGAGAACUAAAAUAAGGCAUGUGGUGUUCCGUCAAUAUGCAACUCGUUGCAUAUUGAGCUCCACUUAACUUGUAGUGUUGUUUGUGCAUUUUGCCAUGCCAUGUUUCAUUAAACCGGACAUGCAACAUACUUGAUUGUGCAUCAUGUCAUGUUCAUCUCGUGGUUGUUUACUAUGUUGUGUGCUUCUUUCCGGUGUUGCUUCUUCGGGUUGGUUCCGUUAAUGUCGCGUUUGUGAGGACCCGUUCGACUACGCCCGUUUGUCUUCUUCAUGGACUUGUUCUUCUUCCUUGCGGGAUUUCAGGCAAGAUGAUCAUACCCUCGAAAUCACUUCUAUCUUUGCUUGCUAGUUGCUCGCUCUUUUGCUAUGCCUAUGCUGCGAUACCUACCACUUGCUUUUCAUGCCUCCUAUAUUGUUGAACCAAGCCUCUAACCCACCUUGUCCUAGCAAACCGUUGUUUGGCUAUGUUACCGCUUUGCUCAACCCCUCUUAUAGCGUUGUUAGUUGCAGGUGAAGAUUGAAGUUUGUUCCUUGUUGGAACAUGGAGAUGUUGUUCCUGGUUGGAACAUGUUUACUUGUUGGGAUAUCACAAUAUCUCUUAUUUAAUUAAUGCAUCUAUAUACUUGGUAAAGGGUGGAAGGCUCGGCCUUAUGCCUGGUGUUUUGUUCCACUCUUGCCGCCCUAGUUUCCGUCAUAUCGGUGUUAUGUUCGCGGAUUUUGCGUUCCUUACGCGGUUGGGCUAUUAUGGGAACCCCUUGACAGUUCGCCUUGAGUAAAACUCCUCUAGCAAUGCCCAACAUUGGUUUUACCAUUUGCCACCUAGCCUUUUCUUUCCCUUGGGUUCUGCAGACUCAAGGGUCAUCAUUAUUUUAACCCCCCGGGCCAGUGCUCCUCUGAGUGUUGGUCCACCUGUCAGCUGCCGGUGGCCACCAGGGGCAACUCUGGGCUGGCCUACCCGUACCUAGGACAAUCCGAGUGUGCCCUGAGAAAGAGAUAUGUGCAGCUCCUAUCGGGAUUUGUCGGCACAUUCGGGCGGUGUUGCUGGUUUAGUUUUACCUUGUCGAAAUGUCUUGUAACCGGGAUUCCGAGUCUAAUCGGGUCUUCCCACUAGAAGGAAUAUCCUUCGUUGACCGUGAGAGCUUGUGAUGGGCUAAGUUGGGACACCCCUGCAGGGAUUUGAACUUCCGAAAGACGUGCCCGCGGUUAUGGGCAGAUGGGAAUUUGUUAACGUCCGGUUGUAGAAAACCUGAAGUUGACCUUAAUUAAAAUACAUCAACCGUGUGUGUUACCGUGAUGGUCUCUUUCCAGCGGAGUCCGGGAAGUGAACACGGUGUUGGAGUUAUGCUUGACGUGGGUUGUUUUAGGAUCACUUCUUGAUCAUACUUUUAUCGACAUGCUUUGCCUUCUCUUCUCGCUCUCAUUUGUGUAUGUUAUCCACCAUAUAUGCUAGUCGCUUGCUGCAGCUCCACCUCAUACCUUUGCCUUAGCCAUAAGCUUAAAUAGUCUUGAUCGCGAGGGUGCGAGAUUGCUGAGUCCCCGUGGCUCACAGAUACUUCCAAAACCAGUUUGCAGGUGCCGUUGAGUCCGUGCAGAUGACGCAACCAAGCUCAAGGAGGAGCUCGAUGAAGAUCUUGUCCUUUGUGUUGUUUCAUUCUAGUUGAUCAGUAGUGGAGCCCAGUUGGGGUCGAUCGGGGACCGUGUCGCAUUUGGGGUUCUUCUUUUAUUUUGGGUUCCAUAGUCGGACCUUGAGUGUGUUUGGAUGAUGUAAUGCUUUAUUCAUGUAUUUGUGUGAAAUGGCAAUUGUAAGCCAACUAUGUAUCUCUUUCCCUUAUGUAUUACAUGGGUUGUGUGAAGAUUACCUCACUUGCGACAUUGCUUUCAAUGCGGUUAUGCCUCUAAGUCAUGCUUCGACACGUGGGAGAUAUAGCCGCAUCGAGGGUGUUACAAGUUGGUAUCAGAGCCUUCCCCGACCUUAGGAGCCCCAUUGCUUGAUCGUUAUUAGCGGCCGAGUUGUGUCUAGAAAAAUGUUUUGAGUCAUUUAGGAAUUAUAUAUCGGAGAGUUUAGGAAUUCUUUUUACUUCCCAGUCUCCUCAUCGCUCUAGUAAGGCAUCCUGACGUAGAGUUUUGACUCUUCUCUUCUCAAAUUUCACUAAAAAAGUUUUAGGAUCACGCGGGUAUCUUGGAAUCGUUCCGAUGGUUUUAUGAUGAGAACAUUGUCUUGGUGCCUCCUGUCAGGGGUUUUGUGGAAGUGUCCCAGGGAGUUGAGCUUCGAGGUGUUGUCGUCAUAAUUUUAUCGUUGCAAUUCUGGAAUACCUGAGUUUAGUACGCCGACAUCGAAAAUCUCUUUUAUGCAGUUCAUUGGUGAGAUAACCUCGACGCCACCCAGUACUGGGGCGGGAGUUCGGGAGUAUUGCCAUAACUUGUAUAACGGAUGCUUUUCGAAGGUUGAGGUAGAUGAUUUUUGAAGGUUUCUUGGUUAUGCGUUGAAGGAUGGAUACAGCUGGAUGUAGGAUUUGCUAGUUUUGGGUGAGAUAUUAUGCUUCCCCUGUAUCCCCAACACCUGAUUGCAUAACCGGAAAGUUUUGGGAGUUUGUAAGUGGGAAUUCAAGUAGCUCUUAGGAUAUCUUUCCGACAGACGUAUGAUAUGAAAUUGGGGUUCGACGUCUAGUGGUCCGCCUAUUCACGGUUGGUUUUACAGUGGUCUCGUUGUGUCUUAAAGAGUCCUUGGCUAUGCCGACUCGGGGACGCUUCGUAUAUCAUGUGCACUGCCUUGUACAUGAUGGUGCUGUACGAUCGAACCCGUGUAGGCCCCACCACGAAAACUUCGGACGAAAUUUCUAUCAUAUGUUUGUUCCGGCUUAUUCUGCUAGCCAAUCCUUUGUUUUGUUUUGAGUUGUGGUAUUCGAGUUGCUUCGAUGUCAAGUAUUGAUUCCAUAACUUUCCUAAAUGGCGUUCUCAUACUCCGAUGUGGAUACCAAUCCUUCUUGAUCAUCAAGAUUGUUUUUGUCAAUCCUUUUUAACCGGCGUGUUUCUCUUCAAGUGGAUCCGAUCAUUUCAACAUCCGCAAGAUCAAAUAUCAGUUUCUUCUGAACGGUGUUUGUUUCAUCCGUCUCCAAGUUGCCUUUGUUUCCCUCCCUCCCACCCUUGUUUUCUUCAAGGACUCAGAUUUAUUAUUCAAGUAUCCUUCAUUGAUGUGAAGUCUCUCCAUUCUUUUCCUUCAUGUUCUUACCCGGUGAUUCUCAGGAAGAUGCUAACGAAGCUUCAAGUUCGUCUCUCGUCACUCAUUUUCUUCUCCGGUGGAACCAAUUCAAGCUUUCGGUGUUGAUCAUGUCUUUUUCCUCGUUUCAAAUACCUUCUCAUGCCGGUGCACCUCAUAUUCAUUCACUUCUCGCUAUUUAAUUGUUCCGGAGUGCUAAAGAUAUCUCGAGAUUCGUGUUUCCAUUUUUAAUCCGUUCAAGCUAUUUUGAGGAUGUUAUCUCAUUCAAGCCUUUUAAUUCAAUCGGUGCAAUCUCUCUUUUAAUCAUUCUAACGGUGUUUUUCUCUUGAGUGGGCCCUAACCCACAGGUUUUUUUUCCAGGAUCUUACCUGACUCUUCUAUUUUCCCGGAGCUACCAUCAAAUUCUUUUCGAAAUUUGACGUAAGAAUGCAUUGUCAUCAGUCAAAUGUCUUUCUCCAAGAUCUUUCAUUUAUUUUCAUCGUUGGUUCAACCUUUAAAAAUCGUCAUUCCGGUGCCUCAAUAAUUCUUGGUGGUGUUUCUCGUUGUCAUUCUCAUCUUUUGAAGAACGAAGAAGAGUUUCUCUUUAAUCUUGCUCCAUUCUCUUCAAGAUUCAUGGGGCUAGCUUGUUGCCAUCCUCUCAUAAUUAUUUUCGAUUGUGAGAAUCUUUUUUCACCCAUCAGGAUAUAUUCAAGGGUAUUUUCAGUUCGAUUAUCCGGAGCCCAUCAUUUCAGAAGAUUUAUUCAUUCCAGCUUUCAGCUCUCAUACUCUAAAUCAUACCGGUGUCUAAAUCAAGGAUUCUCUAAUCAGCUCGUAAUCUCUUCGUUUUCAUGGAUCUAAAUUCUCUCAAGUAUCUUCGUUCAUUUUCAUUUCUUACGGUGGUUCUUACAGGUUUCUCUUCCUUAUCAAUUUAUUCAUUGUCAAUCCUACCGAUGGUUCGUCGAAGACCUUCCCAAGUUUAUGUUAUAUCUCUCUUAAUCUUUUCUACGAGAAUAAGUAAUAUGUCAAAUCCGUGGAUUGUCAUCAAUUUAAUUGGUGAAGGAUAAGCAUAAUGUAAUUCUUAUUCUUGUUUCAUCCAAGUGAUUAAUUCCUUAUUCCGGAGCCUCAUCAAAAUUCUUGGUUUCAAUUGUUUCAUCUUUUCUUUUCCGGAGUUCCAAGCUCUCUCAAUUUAUUUCAUCACGGAGAUCCAUCUAAAUCAUUGCAAGGAUUCACCUUGUGUUUUCAUUUUCUCUUUCUUUUGUUUACCGGAGUUCUUCAUGGAGGUUCUACAUGGUGGUUCAUCAAGGAUUUAAUUCCUUCUCGAAGUGUUCAUUGAGAUUCUUUUCAAAGGAGCUCAAGUUUUCUUCAUCUUGCAAUCCAGAGUGCAAUUUCUUUCUACCGUAUCUUUGGAGGUGGUAUUAUGUCAUUCUUCAUAAUUUGAGUUCAUGCUUCAUGAUUCACACAUUGUUAACAAUGAGGUAUUUUAAAUCCAUUAAUCUCGUCAUUGGAGUUAUCUUGGGUUAUAUUUCACCUUAAACCUUCCCUAAGGAUGUUGCUAUCUAUGGUGCUUAUAAAGGACCCAAGUUCUUCGUUAUCCUCCCGGUGAAUUACUUUCUCGUCUCCUUGUUCAUAUCAAUCCAAUUCUUUUCCCGUGAGUGGCAGGUUGUCAUCUCUUAAUUUGGGAUGUACUCCACAAGACCAUAUCAAGCUUAUUCUUUUCGUUGUUGGUUUUCCAACAAUCCCGUUCUAGCAAUUGUGGUAAGCGUGCUUCCUUAAGAUAUUGUUUCCCUUCGUUCAUUCCAUUCGAUUCUUAAUUUUGUUCCGGAGGCUUUGUGAUGUUGCUCUCUUCAACCCAUCUUUUUGUUCUGUCAAGAUCAUGUUCUUUUCGUGCUUAUCCAUUUAACCGGAGUGUGUGCCCGCUGCUCAAGUUCUUUCAUUUUAUCAAGUCUUGCAUCCCUUCUCAACCGGAGUGCUGUUUGAAUUUGUUCUUCCUUGUUCCUCUUUCUUAACGGAGUGCUUUCAACUUUGUUCUUCUCCAUGGCUUCUUUCUUUCAUUUUGCUCAACCUUUUCAAGGUUCUUUGGUUUCACUCAUUUGUCAAAGGAGCAACUUAGUUUUACCUCUUCUCUUUCUCUUCCGUUUUCCUCCGGUGCCAUUCUAGAUCUCGGGACGAGAUCCUCUCGUAGUGGUGGAGUGUUGUAACGCCCCGAGACCGAUGUGCCAAGUGUCGUCCAGUUAUUCGUUGUUGUUGCCAUGUCAUCUGCUUGCAUGUUGCAUCUUGCCAUGUCAUCAUGUGCAUUGCAUCAUCAUUUUUUAAAAAACUUGCAUCCGUCCGGGUUCCCCCGUUCUUUCCGUUGUCCGUUCUGAGCCCAGACACACUUGCACGCGCCCGCGGCAUGUCUGAAAUAGUAUUUUAUAAGUGGCCGGAAAAUGUUCUCGGAAUGGGAUGAAAGUUGGCGUGCGGUGUUGUUUUGUUGUUAGUAGACCGCCUGCCAAGUUUCAUUGCGUUCGGAGUCCGUUUGACGCCCCAACGGAUAACUAUAGCGGCAGUAUAGCCGGUCUUUUCGUCGGAUGUUUUCGGUCUCCGAAAAUAGUCGUCGGGCCUCUCUCUCUUCUCUUCUCUCAUCUUGAGCCCUUCUGCACAGCCACGAGUUCCAACCGACCCCUCACAUGCGCGUCCGAAACUCCCCCGGACCCAACCUGGACUGUCGCCACCGUUGUGUCCGGAUCAUCCCCAAACAUCUACAAAACGUCAUUGUUUUCUUAUUUGGGCUCCCUAGCCUAUUUUUCCCGACCGUCCAGUUAUGAUCGGAGGGACGGAUUAGCCCUACCCAAAAAUCCUUUUGCUAUAUAUAUGUCAGACCAAACCCUAAAACUAGGUCAUUUUCCCCCCUCAGCCGCCGCCACACUCCACCAAAUCCCCAUCUGGAUCUUCCCCAAUCCAGUUCCUCCUCGUUUUCCUCUCCUGCCAGAUCCAACCAGCGGCCUCGACCAACUCCCUUGAUUUCCGCCGUCGCCCAACCACAGCAAAGCUGCGCCUCCUUCCCUGCCCUCCUAUCUCUUCGUCGUCUCUUUCGGUCUCUCUCGCUCUUUCUCAAAUUCUCUCUCUCUCUCUUGCUAGGUACAGGAGCAACAGGAGGUCGCCCCUGCUGCCAUGGCCACCGUUUCUGUCGCCGUCUCAGGACCCGCCAUGGAGGACCCCGUCGCCCGCCAAGUACCUCACCGGAGUACCCAACCAGGCCAUGACCUCGACGCCCUCCUCCCUCUGUUGUCUCUCCUAACCACUCAAACCCCCUCCCGUUUCUCUCUGUCAGGGGAUCGAAGACAUGGCCGCGCCUCUCUUUGAACUCAACUGCCAUGGCUGUCUCGACCCCCUGCUGCCUUGAGCGCCCCUGCAGGACCUCGCCGGACCACCAGGCGGCAACCUCCUGAGGUUCCCCCUGCCCCAUGCCUUCCCUUUCUUCUCCUUCCUCCUGCAGUUCUUCCUCACCAUCUCUCUCUCUGAACCCUCUCUCGUUUAUUCAGUAGCAGCUCAUGUCGCAGCUACAGUUCGCUCGAUCCCCCUGCCUCGAGCAUGUUGACCGCGCCCCUCCUCGUUGCCAUGGAUCCGCGCCAAUCUCCGCCUCCCCGCGCUCCGAUCCGCCCGUUCCGGCCGGUUCUCGCCGACCCCGUCGCCAAGACCCCUGCUGAUGUCUUCUACAUCGCCUGAUGUUGCUUCUGUUCUUCAGAAGCAAGGACGAACACGCGCCUCGCCUGCACCCGUUGACCGCGCCACCCCAUCUCCUUGUUCGAUCCAGCCUGCCAGCGCGCCUCUAGUUCAGGCCAAGGCCCAACACCUCUUCGCCCCAGCCAUAAACAGGCCUCAAGGCCCAAUGUGAGCAGCACCCUGGCCUUCCCCCUGUUGGGCUGCCCAGAUUCGGCCUGUUUCUUUUUUUUCCCUGCUGACGAAUUUCCUAAUUUCCAAUGCAUGCAUAAUUACAUGAGGAUGCCAUUAUUUUAAUUUGCUCACAAGUUAAUAACCGUGCAUCGGUUUAAAACAAACUUAAUAUGAAAGUUGCUUAGAAUUUUGUCUAGUUUAAUAACAUGCAACUUUCAUCCAUGUUUAAAAUGUUUAAAAUGCUGUUUGUUUAAAUUUGUUUAAAUAACUUGCUAAAAUGCUUUAUUUCAUAACUAAAUAACCGUAGCUCUGAAUUAAAUAAUCUUUAUAUGUAAAUGGGGUAGAAAAAUGCCUAGUUUAACAUGGUGGCCUUACUUUGCAUGUUUAACAACUCUAAAAUAAUGUUUAGGGCAGAACAGUACCAAAUCUAUAAUAUGCUCAUGAGGAGUUUCCGGAAUUGUUGUUCGUUGCUUCCGGCCUCAUUUAAACUUGACUAGAUAGGUAGUUUACUUUGCUUCACCUCUUGCCAUGCUAACAACAUUUAAUCUUGUUGAGUACAUAAACGAGAGAGAACUAAAAUAAGGCAUGUGGCGUUCCGUCAAUAUGCAACUCGUUGCAUAUUGAGCUCCACUUAACUUGUAGUGUUGUUUGUGCAUUUUGCCAUGCCAUGUUUCAUUAAACCGUACAUGCAUCAUACUUGAUUGUGCAUCAUGCCAUGUUCAUGUCGUGGUUGUUUACUAUGUUGUGUGCUUCUUUCCGGUGUUGCUUCUUCGGGUUGGUUCCAUUAACGUCACGUUUGUGAGGACCCAUUCGACUAUGCCCGUUUGUCUUCUUCAUGGACUCGUUCUUCUUCCUUGCGGGAUUUCAGGCAAGAUGAUCAUACCCUCAAAAUCACUUCUAUCUUUGCUUGCUAGUUGCUCGCUCUUUUGCUAUGCCUAUGCUGCGAUACCUACCACUUGCUUUUCAUGCCUCCUAUAUUGUUGAACCAAGCCUCUAACCCACCUUGUCCUAGCAAACCGCUGUUUGGCUAUGUUACCGCUUUGCUCAGCCCCUCUUAUAGCGUUGUUAGUUGCAGGUGAAGAUUGAAGUUUGUUCCUUGUUGGAACAUGGAGAUGUUGUUCCUGGUUGGAACAUGUUUACUUGUUGGGAUAUCACAAUAUCUCUUAUUUAAUUAAUGCAUCUAUAUACUUGGUAAAGGGUGGAAGGCUCGGCCUUAUGCCUGGUGUUUUGUUCCACUCUUGCCGCCCUAGUUUUCGUCAUAUCGGCGUUAUGUUCCCGGAUUUUGCGUUCCUUACACGGUUGGGCUAUUAUGGGAACCCCUUGACAGUUCGCCUUGAGUAAAACUCCUCCAGCAAUGCCCAACAUUGGUUUUACCAUUUGCCACCUAGCCUUUUCUUUCCCUUGGGUUCUGCAGACUCAAGGGUCAUCAUUAUUUUAACCCCCCGGGCCAGUGCUCCUCUGAGUGUUGGUCCACCUGUCAGCUGCCGGUGGCCACCAGGCGCAACUCUGGGCUGGCCUACCCGUACCUAGGACAAUCCGAGUGUGCCCUAAGAAAGAGAUAUGUGCAGCUCCUAUCAGGAUUUGCCGGCACAUUCGGGCGGUGUUGCUGGUUUAGUUUUACCUUGUCGAAAUGUCUUGUAACCGGGAUUCCGAGUCUGAUCGGGUCUUCCCGCUAGAAGGAAUAUCCGUCUUUGACCGUGAGAGCUUGUGAUGGGCUAAGUUGGGACACCCCUGCAGGGAUUUGAACUUUCGAAAGCCGUGCCCGUGGUUAUGGGCAGAUGGGAAUUUGUUAACGUCCGGUUGUAGAAAACUUGAAGUUGACCUUAAUUAAAAUACAUCAACCGCGUGUGUUACCGUGAUGGUCUCUUUCCGGCGGAGUCCGGAAAGUGAACACGGUGUUGGAGUUAUGCUUGACGUGGGUUGUUUUAGGAUCACUUCUUGAUCAUACUUUUAUCGACCAUGCUUUGCCUUCUCUUCUCGCUCUCAUUUGCGUAUGUUAGCCACCAUAUAUGCUAGUCGCUUGCUGCAGCUCCACUUCAUACCUUUGCCUUAGCCAUAAGCUUAAAUAGUCUUGAUCGCGAGGGUGCGAGAUUGCUGAGUCCCCGUGGCUCACAGAUACUUCCAAAACCAGUUUGCGGGUGCCGUUGAGUCCGUGCAGAUGAUGCAACCAAGCUCAAGGAGGAGCUCGAUGAAGAUCUUGUCCUUUGUGUUGUUUCGUUCUAGUUGAUCAGUAGUGGAGCCCAGUUGGGGUCGAUCGGGGACCGUGUCGCAUUUGGGGUUCUUCUUUUAUUUUGGGUUCCGUAGUCGGACCUUGAGUGUGUUUGGAUGAUGUAAUGCUUUAUUCAUGUAUUUGUGUGAAGUGCCAAUUGGAAGCCAACUAUGUAUCUCUUUCCCUUAUGUAUUACAUGGGUUGUGUGAAGAUUACCUCACUUGCGACAUUUCUUUCAAUGCGGUUAUGCCUCUAAGUCGUGCUUCGACAUGUGGGAGAUAUAGCCGCAUCGAGGGCGUUACAGCCCAACAACGUCUAUAAGAAGAAGGUUGUGUAGUAGACAUCAAGCUCUGUUCUGGCUGUUGCCGGGGAGGUUAGUGCUUGAAGGUUUAUCUUUAGAUCUUGCAAUCGAAUCUUUUAGUUUCUUGUUUUAUCACUAGUUUAGUUUAUAAAGGAAAACUACAAAAAAAAUUGGAAUUGAGGGUGCCUCAUAUGCUUCAUCUUUUUUAUAUCUUUCGUGAAAAUAAGGAUUUCGAUAAUUGUGCCAAAAUGUUAGAAGAAUGAUGCAUUCAAAUGUUUGGCCCUAAAUAUUUGAAUGAUGAGCAUGAUUGCAAUGUUGUUAGUAUGAAUUCUUUGAAUAUCCAUGAUGCUAAUGAUAUGCAAAGCCAGAAGCUUGGGGAUGCUAUGUUUGAUGAAGAUGAUAUUUUUAGUCCCCCAAGUUUUGAUAAGCAAAUUUAUUAUGAUGAUAGCACACCUCCUUUUUAUGAUGAUUAUAUUGGUGAAAGUGGUUUCAGAGAGGUCAUUACUUUAUUUAGUGAUGAAUCCACUAUUUCGGAAGAGUUUUCAAUUGAUUAUGAUGAGAACAAAGUUGCUACUUAUGAUGAUUAUUGUGAUGACACUUAUGCUAUAAAAGGUAGUAAUGAUUAUAUUUAUAAAACUUGUCAUGAUUAUGAUUACCCUUUUUCUGAACAUUACUCUUUUAAUAUGGAAACAAUUUAUAGUAUUCGAGUUUCUUAUGAUACUCCCACUAUUCCGAAUGAGAAGAAUUUUGCUUAUGUGUAGAGUAAUAAAAUUUAUAUGCUUGUGCAUCAUGAAAAUAGUGCUUUAUGUGAUAGUUAUAUUGUUGAAUUCAUUCAUGAUGCUACUGAAAUUUAUUAUGGAGGAACAUAUGCUUGUAGGAAUUGCAAUAAUAUCAAGUUUCCUCUCUAUGUGUUGAAAAUAUUGAAGCUAUGCUUGUUUUGCUUUCCUAUGCUAGUUGAUUCUUGUUCCCAUAAGUUGUUUGCUCACAAAAUACCUAUGCAUAGGAAGUGGGUUAGACUUAAAUGUGCUAGUUAUAUUCUUCAUGAUGCUCUCUUUAUAUUUCAAAUCUUAUCUUUUAUGUGAGCAUCAUUGAAAUCAUCAUGCCUAGUUUGAAGGCAUUAAAGAGAAGCGCUUGUUGGGAGACAACCCAAUAUUUAUACCUACUGUUUUUGCAUGUUCACGUGAUUAUGCUACUAUACUAAUCAUGUUUUAUAGCUUUUGUUUGAAUAAAGUUCCAAGUAAGACCUUUGGGAGGGCUUACGGUGAUAGUUGAUUUGAUCUUGCUGAAAAAUAGAAACUUUUGCGCUCAGGUAAACAAUUCUCAUUUUUAACAGAAGCGUGAUAAAAUACCGAUUCCUUUUGCAGAAGAUUAAUAAACAAAUUUCCUAGGACUUCCUAAUUUCUCAGGAUUUUUGGAGUUACAGAAGUAUUCGAGAGUUACCGAUUACUACAGACUGCUCUGUUUUUGACAGAUUCUGUUUUCGAUGCAUUGUUUGCUUGUUUUCUAGUUUCUAUGGCUUAUAUUGCUUAAUAUAAAUCAUAGAAAUGAUAUGGUACAGUAGUAAUCAUGUGAGAAAAAUUAUGAAUCUUGUCUUGACAGUACCUAAGUGGUGAUUUGCUUUCUUAUACUAAUGGAGCUUACGAGUUUUCUGUUAAGUUUUGUGUUGUGAAGUUUCCAAGUUUUGGGUAAAGAUUCGAUGGACUACGGAAUAAGGAGUGGCAAGAGCCUAAGCUUGGGGAUUACCAAGGCACCCCAAGGUAAUAUUCAAGGACAACCAAACAUCUAAGCUUGGGGAUGCCCCGGAUGGCAUCCCCUCUUUCGUCUUCGUUUAUCGAUAACUUUAUUUGGAGCUAUAUUUUAAUUCACCACAUGAUAUGUGUUUUACUUGGAGUGUCAUUUUCUUUUAUUAGUAUUUGCUUACUGUUAUUUAUAGUAAUGUUUUGCAUCUUUUACUUCAAUAAAAAGGUCAAGUAUAGCCUUUACCAUGCUUAUUUUGCAAGUCCAUAUGUUGCUGUUUUGAAAACAGAAAGUUUGCUGUUAUGUUUUGAAUAUUUGUGAAUAGUCAGAACAUGAUAAAAACUUGAAACUUUUACACAGUGAGUAACAACAUAUUAUCUACAGUGUGGUAAUUUUUCAUAAUUUUUGGAGUUAAAGAAGAAUGAUUCUUCUUGCAUUCUUUACAGACUAUCCUAUUUAGACAGAUUGUUGUUAUGAUUGCAUUGUUUGCAUAUGUUUGCUUGUUUAAUGAUUCUAUUUGAUGAUACGAGUAUUAAAUAUGCAGAGGCAUUUAGUAAGAAAUGUCAAAUUAUAAUUUUAAUGAUUUUCUACAGUAGAGAAUGAUAAGGUUUUGCGUUGAUUUAUACUAACUUACCUCACGAGUUCUUGUUGAGUUUUGUGUGCAUGAAGUUUUUAAGAUUCCAGGAAACUAUGAUAUGAGAGGAAUUAAGGAGACACAAAAGCUCAAGCUUGGGGAUGCCCAAGGCAUCCUUAAUUAAUAUUUCAAAAAGUCUCAAGCAUCUAAGCUUGGGGAUGCCCCGGUAGGCAUCCCACCUUUCUUCAUCAACAAUUAUCGGUUAGCCUCGGUUGAGCCUAAGUUUUUGCUUCUUCACAUGAUAUGUACUAUCCUUGCAAUGUCAUUUUAUUUUGCUUUGCUUGUUUUUUGAAUAAAGUACUUAAGAUCUGAAGUUUUAAUUAUGAGAAGGAGUCUUCACAUAGUUACAUAAUUAUUCAACUACUCAUUGAUCUUCACUUAUAUCUUUUUGAGUAGUUUGUCAUUUGCUCUAGUGAUUCACUUAUAUGUUUUUAGAGCACGGCGGUAGUUUUAUUUUGAAGAAAUUGUUGAACUCUCAUGCUUCACUUAUAUUAUUUUGAGAGUAUCUAAACAACAUGGUAAUUUGCUUAGGUGAUGAAUUUAGUCCUGAUAUGAUGGGCAUCCAAGAGGGAUAUAAUAAAAACUUUCAUAUAAAGUGCAUUGAAUACUAUGUGAAGUUUGAUUCCUUAUGAUUGUUUUGAGAUAUGAGGAUGGUAAUAUUAGAGUCAUGCUAGUGAGUAAUUGUGAAUUUGAGAGAUACUUGUGUUAAAGUUUGUGAUUCUCGUAGCAUGCACGUAUGGUGAACCGUUAUGCGGUGAAGUCGGAGCAUGAUUUAUUUUUUGAUUGUAUUCCUUAAGAGUGGCGGUCGGGGACGAGCGAUGAUCUUUUCCUACCAAUCUAUCCCGCUAGGAGCAUGCGCGUAGUACUUCGUUUCGAUAACUAGUAGAUUUUUGCAAUAAGUAUGUGAGUUCUUUAUGACUAAUAUUGAGUCCAUGGAUUAUACGCACUCUCACCCUUCCACCAUUGCUAGCCUCUCUUGUGCCGCGCAACUUUCGCCGGUACCAUAACACCCACCAUUACCUUCCACAAAACGGCCACCAUACCUACCUAUUAUGGCAUUUUCAUAGUCAUUUCGAGAUAUAUUGCCAUGCAACUUUCCACCGUUCCGUUUAUUAUGACACGCUUCAUCAUUGUCAUAUUGCUUUGCAUGGUUAUGUAGUUGACAUCGUAUUUGUGGCAAAGCCACCUUUCAUAAUUCUUUCAUACAUGUCACUCUUGACUCAUUGCACAUCCCGGUACACUGCCAGAGGCAUUCAUAUAGAGUCAUAUUUUGUUCUAGGUAUUGAGUUGUAAGUAAAUAAAAGUGUGAUGGUCAUCAUUAUUAGAGCAUUGUCCUAGUGAGGAAAGGAUGAUGGAGACUAUGAUUCCCCCACAAGUCGGGAUGAGACUACGGACGAAAAAUAAAAAAAAUAAAAAGGCUAUAAAAAAGAGAAAAGACCCAAAUAAAAAAUGAGAGAAAAAGAGAGAAGGGGCAAUGCUACUAUCCUUUUUCCACACUUGUGCUUCAAAAUAGCACCAUGAUCUUCAUGAUAGAGAGUCCCCUAUUUUGUCACUUUCAUAUACUAGUGGGGGUUUUUCAUUUUAGAACUUGGCUUGUAUAUUCCAAUUAUGGGCUUCCUCAAAGUGCCCUAGGUCUUCGUGAGCAAGCAAGUUGGAUGCACACCCACUUAGUUUCUUUUUGAGCUUUCAUACACUUAUAGCUCUAGUGCAUCCGUUGCAUGGCAAUCCCUACUCACUCACAUUGAUAUCUAUUGAUGGGCAUCUCCAUAGUCCGUUGAUACGCCUAUUUGAUGUGAGACUAUCUCCUUCUUUUUGUCUUCUCCACAACCACCGUCUAUUCCACCUAUAGUGCUAUGUUCAUGGCUCACGCUCAUGUAUUGUGUGGAAGUUGAAAAAGUUUUAGAACAUCAAAAGUAUGAAACUAUUGAUUGGCUUUUCAUCGGGGUUGUGCAUGAUUUAAAUAUUUUGUGUGAUGAAGAUGGAGCAUAGCCAGACUAUAUGAUUUUGUAGGGAUAAGCUUUCUUUGGCCAUGUUAUUUUGAGAAGACAUAAUUGCCUUGUUAGUAUGCUUGAAGUAUUAUUAUUUUUAUGUCAAUAUUAAACUUUUGUAUUGAAUCUUAUGGAUCUGAAUUGUAGUGACCAGACCUCAAACAGUAUGAUCUCUGUGCUCCGGUGUCAUCCCUGGAUCAGUAAUGCUGACACCACACAGUACUUGGAGGAUUUAUAGCAAAGUAGCAAUCACACACUUAUUACAUCGAGUGUCUCCAUAGAGAACUUAUUACAAUAAAUAUGGCUUAAGGCCAUCCAAUAACGAUAACAGCGGAAGGCUUGGAAGAUAAGUAAGUCCAUCAACUCCAACGGCAUCACUGAGUAUAGAACCACGACCUAAAAACUCCUUAAUCAUCGUCUGAAAAGUCUGCAACAUUAACAUUGCAGCCUGAAACGGGUCAGCACAUGGAAUAUGCUGGCAAGAUAACACAUGGAGAAUAAUGGAAUGAAACAGCUAUACUAUAUGCAUAUUUGGCUGGUGGAAAGCUCUAUGGUUACAGUUUUGCGUAAAGCCAAUUUUUCCCUACUACAAAGGAAUAAAUUUAAUUACUAUCAUGGUGGUUGUUAAACAUUGAGAAUGGUUGACAGCAUUCUCAAUCCCAAUUAAGCAUCAUCAUUAAACAAACCCAACAAAAUUAAUUUAGGGUAACAUGUUGAGAUUCACAUGAUAAUCCAGGUACUAGAUACUCAAGAUGUCCAUAACCGGGGACACGGCUAACCAUGAUUAGUUUAUUCCACUCUGCAGAGGUUUGCGCACUUUUCCCCACAAGACUCGAUCGCCUCCGUUUGGUUUCUCGCACUACAUGGUGUUUGAGAAGACGGAUGACCGAGACAUAGUCUUUCAGAAGCGCUAGCACCUUACGAUUGGGUAGACCGUACCACCUACAUCCCCUACAUCUGCUAGUCUACCACUGUAAGAGUUCGCACGACUUAGUCAACUAUGCUAGAGCCCAUAAUAGCUUGUGGCUGCACACAGAAGUUUCUAGUAUGAAUAGUCUCAUGAUCCCUUUGAGCCUGGGUGGCGGUCCAAAAGAAAACAGGCAAGUCCUGGAAUACCCAGGUGCCUCAAUCCACCCAGAUAUGUGUUUAAGUUGCCACCUUAGAUAAACUAUUAAUUAACAAACUCACAUCUGUCAUGGAUAUCACUCACCCAAUCCACGUCUACUAGCAUAGCAUGGCAUAAUAAGCAAACGUAGAAGUAACUCCCAAAGUUUUGAUAAUAAACAGGUAAUAGGUAAUACCUCAACUACUUCCCAUCCCACAAUUUAAUUAGAUCCUAAUCAUGCAGUGUGUGAGGAUUGAUCUAAUGCAAUAAAACUUGGUAGUAGGAAAGGUAUGAUCAAAGUGUUACUUGCCUUGCUGAUGAUCCGGGAAACCUAGUGAUUCGAAGUAACAAGCGGCGCACUCCGGGUAUUCUAUCGGAAACAAACAAACAAGCAUACAAUAAGUACUCAUCUAAUGCACGGGUAAAACUCAAAUAAGAGAUCUAACCAGAAGGUUCAACUUAAGAACUCUGGUUUGCAAAAGGAAUCAAAUCGAACGAAACAACGAAAGUCAAACGGCAAAAGAAAACAACUUCGUUUUACUAAUCUGGAUCUAGGGCAAAUUUUACAGUAGCAAAAACUUGUUUAAGUUGAUUAAACGGAUAAAGGGUUUCGAGACGAAACUCUAGGCGCUUGAAUCGCCUGAUUCAGAUAAACGAGCGAAAAGUUAUACUAAAAAGAAAAUCGGAUCAGGAAUCGCGAUCAGACAAAUCACGGAUUAAAUCCGAGAAAAAGAAAAACAACGAACGUUCGCUAGAACGAACAAACGAACGAACGAACGCUCGCUAUUUAAAUAAACCGGAAAAACCAAUCUAUUUAAAAAAACGAAUCUAAAAAAACCGACGAAAAAUCAACGGAAAGACCGAACGAUUUUUCGAAAAAAAACACCGGCGCGGAAAUCGAGGCAGCGGCGGACCUCGGGCAGCGUGCGGCAGCGGCGGUGUCCGGCGGCGGCGGCUUGGGGCUGGCUAGGGUUUCGGCUGGGCCUUCCCCCGGCUAUAUAUAGCCUAACGGGCCGGGAGUCCUAGUCGGACACGGCCCUAGUUCGGUUCAUUUUUUUUAAUAAUUACGCGCAGAAAAAAAAUAAAAAGAAAUACUAAACGGACUCCAAAAAUCCCAAAAUAUAUUUUCCCGGGCUUCUAAAAUCAAGCCGCACAAGGUGAACAUUUAUUUGGGGGCCUAAAUGCAAUUUUGAAAAACGCACAUUUUUCCUAAAUUCAAAUAAAAUAACGAAAAACUCCGAAAUAAAAUCUUAUUUGAUUUUAUUAUUAAAUCCUCAAUAUUUCUUUAUUUGGGAAAAGUCAUUUUAUUCCCUCUCUGAUAUUUUUGUAAUAGAAAUAAUUGACGAUAAAAUAAUUAAAAUCAAAUGAUCCUAUUCUCAAAAUUUGAGAAAACUCAAAUAUGAAAAUAACGAAAUCCCCAACUCUCUCCGUGGGUCCUUGAGUUGCGUAAAAUUUCUAGGAUCAAAACCAAACGCAAAUAAAAUAUGAUAUGCAAUGAUAAUCUAAUGUAUAACAUUCCAAAUUGAAAAUUUGGGAUGUUACAUGAAUAUUCUUGCCACAAUAAAGAGAAUUACAUGGAUAAAUAUGUUAGGUAGCAUUCCACAUCAAAAAUUCUGUUUUUAUCAUUUACCUACUCGAGGACGAGUAGGAAUUAAGCUUGGGGAUGCUUGAUACGUCUCCAACGUAUCUAUAAUUUUUGAUUGUUCCAUGCCAUUAUAUUAUCAAUCUUGGAUGUUUAAUAUGCAUUAAUAUGCUAUUUUAUAUGAUUUUCGGGACUAACCUAUUAACCUAGAGCCCGGUGCCAGUUUUCUGUUCUUUCCUUGUUUUUGAGUUUUACAUAAAAGGAAUACCAAACGGAGUCCAAUUGACGUGCCAAUUUUUGAUGAUUUUUUAUGGACCAAAAGAAGCCCCCGGAGUAAAAUAGUUGGGCCAAAAGAGUUCCGAGCCAUCCACGAGGGUGGAGGGCGCGCCCCCUGCCUCGUGGACGACUCGGAGACCCCCCUGACGUGAGACCGACGCCAAAAAUUCCUAUAAAGACAGAAACUCCCGAAAAAAAAUCUAGAUCGGGAGUUCCGCCACUGCAAGCCUCUAUAGCCACCAAAAACCAAUCGGGGCCCUGUUUCGGCACCCUGCCGAAGGGGGGAUCCAUCACCGGUGGCCAUCUUCAUCAUCCUGGCGCUCUCCAUGACGAGGAAAAAGUAGUUCAUCCUCAGGGCUGAGGGUAUGUACCAGUAACUAUGUGUUUGAUCCCUCUCUCUCUCUCGUGUUCUUGAUAUGGCACGAUCUUGAUGUACCGCGAGCUUUGCUAUUAUAGUUGGAUCUUAUGAUGCUUCUCCCCCUCUAUGUUCUUGUAAUGGAUUGAGUUUUCCCUUUGAAGUUAUCUUAUCGGAUUGAGUCUUUAAGGAUUUGAGAACACUUGAUGUAUGUCUUGCAUGUGCUUAUCUGUAGUGACAAUGGGAUAUUCACGUGAUCCACUUGAUGUAUGUUUCGGUGAUCAACUUGUGAGUUCUGUGACCUUGUAAAAUUAUGCAUAGGGGUUGGCACACGUUUUCGUCUAGACUCUCCGGUAGAAACUUUGGGGCACUCUUUGAAGUUCUUUGUGUUGGUUGAAUAGAUGAAUAUGAGAUUGUGUGAUGCAUAUCGUAUAAUCAUACCCGCGGAUACUUGUGGUGACAUUGGAGUAUCUAGGUGACAUUAGGGUUUUGGUUGAUUUGUGUCUUAAGGUGUUAUUUUACUACGAACUCUAGGGCUAUUUGUGACACUUAUAGGAAUAGCCCAAUGGAUUGAUCGAAAAGAAUAACUUUGAGGUGGUUUCGUACCCUACAAUAAUCUCUUCGUUUGUUCUCCGCUAUUAGUGACUUUGGAGUGACUCUUUGUUGCAUGUUGAGGGAUUGUUAUAUGAUCUAAUUAUGCUAUCCUUGUUGAGAGAACUUGCACUAGUGAAAGUAUGAACCCUAGGCCUUGUUUCAACGCAUUGCAAUACCAUUUUCGUUCACUUUUAUCAUUAGUUACCUUGCUGCUUUUAUAUUUUCAGAUUACAAAAACCUAUAUCUACCAUCCAUAUUGCACUUGUAUCACAACCUCUUCGCCGAACUAGUGCACCUAUACAAUUUACCAUUGUAUUGGGUGUGUUGGGGACACAAGAGACUCUUUGUUAUUUGGUUGCAGGGUUGUUUGAGAGAGACCAUCUUCAUCCUACGCCUCCCACGGAUUGAUAAACCUUAGGUCAUCCGCUUGUGGGAAAUUUGCUACUGUCGUACAAAUCUCUGCACUUGGAGGCCCAACAACGUCUACAAGAAGAAGGUUGUGUAGUAGACAUCAUUCGGCGAAGAGAUGGUGAUACAACUGUAGUAAUGAUAAUAGAUAUUGAUUUUUGUAAUAGGGUUCUGAAGGAAAUAUGCCCUAGAGGCAAUAAUAAAGUUGUUAUUUAUAUUUCCUUAUAUCAUGAUAAAUGUUUAUUAUUCAUGCUAGAAUUUUAUUAACCGAAAACUUAGUAGAUGUGUGAAUGCAUAGACAAACAGAGUGUCCCUAGUAUGCCUCUACUUGACUAGCUCGUUAAUCAAAGAUGGUUAAGUUUCCUACCAUGGUCAUGUGUUAUCAUUUGAUGAAUGGGAUCACAUCAUUAGAGAAUGAUGUGAUGGACUAGACCCAUCCGUUAGCUUAGCACUAUGAUCGUUUAGUUGAUUGCUAUUGCUUUCUUCAUGACUUGUACAUGUUCCUAUGACUAUGAGAUUAUGCAACUCCUGAAUACCGGAGGAACACUUAGUGUGCUAUCAAACGUCACAACGUAACUGGGUGAUCAUAAAGAUGCUCUACAGGUGUCUCCGAUGGUGUUUGUUGAGUUGGCAUAGAUCGAGAUUAGGAUUUGUCACUCCGAUUGUCAGAGAGGUAUCUCUGGGCCCUCUCGAUAAUGCACAUCACUAUAAGCCUUGGAAGCAAUGUGACUAAUGAGUUAGUUGCGGGAUGAUGCAUUACGGAACGAGUAAAGAGACUUGCCGAUGAUGAGAUUGAACUAGGUAUGAUGAAUACGACGAUCGAAUCUCGGGCAAGUAACAUACCGAUGAUAAAGGGAACAUCAUAUGUUGUUGUGCGGUUUGAUCGAUAAAGAUCUUCAUAGAAUAUGUAGGAACCAAUAUGAGCAUCCAGGUUCCGCUAUUGGUUAUUGACCGGAGAUGUGUCUCGGUCACGUCUACAAAGUUCUUGAACCUGUAGGGUCCGCACGCUUAACGUUAGAUGACGAUAUGUAUUAUGAGUUAUGUGAUUUGAUGUACCGAAGGUUGUUCGGAAUCCCAGAUGAGAUAACGGACAUGACUAGGAGUCUCAAAAUGGUCGAGACAUAAAGAUUCAUAUAUUGGAAGGCUACAUUCGGACACCGGAAUGGUCCGGAUCGUUUCGGAUAAGUUUCGGAGUACCGGGGGUUACCGGACCCCCCCUCCGGGAAGUUAUUGGGACUCAUGGGCCUAAUGAUGGAAGAGAGGAGGCAGGCCAAGGUGUGGCAUGCGCCCCCCUAGCCCAAACCGAAUUGGACUAGGUCGCCCCCCCUUUCCUUCUCUUCUUUCUCUCCUUCCUUCUUCUCCUACUAGGACUAGGAAAGGGGGGAACCUACUAUACGGGGGAGGGGGGCACCCCAUAGACACACAAGUUGAUCUUUAGCCGUGUGGGUGCCCCCCUCCACAGUUACACACCUCGGUCAUAUUGUUGUAGUGCUUAGGCGAAGCCCUGCAUCGGUAACUUCAUCAUCAUCAUCAACACGCCGUCGUGCUGACGGAACUCACCCUCGGCCUCAGCUGGAUCAAGAGUAGGGGGACGUUGUGACGCCCGCAAUUUAAUCGUACACUAAUCAUACACGCAAACGUGUACGAUCAAGAUCAGGGACUCACGGGAAGAUAUCACAACACAACUCUACAAAUAAAAUAAGUCAUACAAGCAUCAUAUUACAAGCCAGGGGCCUCGAAGGCUCGAAUACAAGAGCUCGAUCAUAGACGAGUCAGCGGAAGCAACAAUAUCUGAGUACAGACAUAAGUUAAACAAGUUUGCCUUAAGAAGGCUAGCACAAACUGGGAUACAGAUCGAAAGAGGCGCAGGCCUCCUGCUUGAGAUCCUCCUAACUACUCCUGGUCGUCGUCAGCGGGCUGCAUGUAGUAGUAGGCACCUCCCGAGUAGUAGUAGUCGUCGUCGACGGUGGCGUCUCGCUCCUGGGCUCCAACGUCUGGUCGCAGCAAUCGGGUAUAGAAAAGGGGAAAAGAGGGAGCAAAGCAACCGUGAGUACUCAUCCAAAGUACUCGCAAGCAAGGAGCUACACUACAUAUGUAUGCAUUCGUAUCAAAUGGAAUAAGGGUAUCAUAUGUGGACUGAACUACAGAAUACCGGAAUAAGAGGGGGAUGGCUAAUCCUUUCGAAGACUAUGCUUCUGGUAACCUCCAUCUUGCAGCAGGAGAAGAGAGUAGAUGAUAAGUUCACCAAGUAGCAUCGUGUAGCAUAAUCCUAACCAAUGAUCCUCCCCUCGUCGCCCUGUGAGAGAGCGAUCACCGAUUGUAUCUGGCACUUGGAAGGGUGUGUUUUAUUAAGUAUCCGGUUCUAGUUGUCAUAAGGUCAAGGUACAACUCCAAGUCGUCCUGUUACCGAAGAUCACAGCUAUUCGAAUAGAUUAACUUCCUUGCAGGGGUGCACCACAUUUCCCAACACGCUCGAUCCCCUUUGUCUGGACACACUUUUCUGGGUCAUGCCCGGCCUCAGAAGAUCAACACGUCGCAGCCCUACCUAGGCACAACAAAGAGGUCAGCACGACGGUCUAAAUCCUAUGGCGCAGGGGUCUAGGCCCAUCGCCCAUUGCACACCUGCACGUUGCGUACGCGGCCGGUGAGCAGACCUAGCAACCUCCAUUACAAAGGAAGUUGCGUUACGCGGUCCAACCCGGCGCGUGCCGCUCAGUCGCUGACGUCACGAAGGCUUCGGCUGAUACCACGACGUCGAGUGCCCAUACCUGUCCCCGCGUAGAUGGUUAGUGCGUAUAGGCCAGUGGCCAGACUCAGAUCAAAUACCAAGAUCUCGUUAAACGUGUUAAGUAUCCGCGAACGCCGACCAGGGCCAGGCCCACCUCUCGCCUAGGUGGUCUCAACCUGCCCUGUCGCUCCGCCACAAAGUAACAGCCGGGGGCCGUCGGGAACCCAGGCCCACCCCUACCGGCAUGGAGCCACCUGCCCCUUCAGCCCCCAUCUCCGAACAGUAUCAUAAGUAAUGUAAUAGUAUCAAGUAUAUAGCAUAUGCCCGUGAUCACUUCCCGAAGUGAUCACGACCCAGUAGUAUAGCAUGGCAGACGGACAAGAGUGUAGGGCCACUGAUGAUAAUCUAGCAUCCCAUACUAAGCAUUUAGGAUUGCAGGUAAGGUAUCAACAGUUGUAGCAACAAUGACAGGCUAUGCAUCAGAAUAGGAUUAACGGAAAGCAGUAACAUGCUACUCUACUCUAAUGCAAGAAGUAGAGAGAAGAGUAGGCGAUUUCUGGUGAUCAAAGGUGGGGCUUGCCUGGUUGCUCUGGCAAGAGAGAGGGGUCGUCAACACCGUAGUCGUACUGGGUAGCAGCGGCGUCGGUCUCGGUGUCUAGCGAGACAAGAGGGGGAAGAAACAAUAAAUAUAAUGCAAACAAAUGCAUGACGAUGUAUGACAUGACAAAGCGUGAUGCUAGGUGUGCCCUAACGCGGUAUGAGGUGGUACCGGUGAAGGGGGGAAACAUCCGGGAAAAUAUCCCCGGUGUUUCACAUUUUCGGGUAGAUGAAUCGGAGGGAAAAAGUUGCAUGUUUUCUAUUCUAGGGAUAGGUGGUGGAUGAACGAACCGCGUAUUCGGAUCCGUCUCGUCGUUCUGAGCAACUUUCAUGUACAAAGAUUUUCGAUCCGAACUACGGAUGAAUUUCUACAAUUUUCCAAAGUUUUGAAAUAUUUUCUGAAAUCCCUGAAAAUUGGCUAAGUCCUCAGUUUUAAACAUCACUUAGUUGUUUUGCAGAGGCCAUAGCUAGCAUUCUGUACAUCCUUUGAAUUAGUGCUUUAUAUCAAAUCUGGGCACUCUGCUGUGAUCUACAUGACAGUCUCAGGUCCAUCUACAUUAUUGUCCAUUUGCUUGCUCAAAUAUUUGUUUCAAAAGUGCUAUUGGAUGUUAUUUUCAGAAUCUGUUUCUCAGUUCUUCUGGUUAACAGAACAUAGAUAUUUGUCAUUUUCAUAGGAAUUAAACCACGCACUAUCUAAAGUAGGUCCAAUGAAACAAAAUGAAGCUUGUUACAUCUACUUUUUGUUUAUAUAAAUUUUACCCAUGUUAGGACUUGUCUUAUCGCUGUUUAGGGGCUGUUUAGCGGGCUAGUCAUUGCAGAAAUACGAAAGCUAACUACUGCUACAGUAACAUUCAGUUACUGUGGCAGAGCACUCUGCAUGCAGUGGGCGCGCACACACUACACACUACGCGGACACUCUACACAGGGCCGGCCAGAGGCACAUAGCCGGCCACACACGGCCAUGGCCAAGAGCGGCAGCAACAACGAAUACACAGCGGCAGCAGCAGUAGCUUGCAGCAGUACGCAACGGCAUCAGCAGUAGCGGCGGCACAGCAGCAGCCUAGCGAAGCAAGCAGCAGCAGCAGGGAGCAGCGCCGGGCACGACGUCGCGUGCGCGGACAGCGGCUGCUAGCGAUGGCGGUAACGGCCGGGGUGACCAGGACGCGGCCAGGCGCCUACAUGCGGUCAGGAGAGGCCGAGGGCGCGCGCGGCUGGAGCAUGCGGCGCGCGCGCAGACAUGGACGGGCAGGGGCAUGCCCAUGGGUGGCUGGGCGCCCACGAGCAUGGCUGCGACCACGGAGCUCUAGUGGCCGUGACGAGCGCGGACGAAACAUCUACAAUGGCAAAACUAGAAGGGGGCGAGGGGGGAAGCGCAGCUCACCGUGGAGCUCGGUGACGCGCUCGGGGAGGCCGGGGACGGCUCGACGGCGACGCAAUCGAUGGCGAGGUGCCGCAGCCGUGAGUGGAGAAGAUGCCUCGAUGGUGGCGAUCCGACGCUCCCCCACUUGAUCUACUGCUUGGAAUCGACGGAGAUGAGGCGGGCGGAGCUCCUAGAAGUCUCCACGAGGCUUGGGGAGGUCCCGGAGCACGGCUACAAGGCGGCGGCGGCGACGGAGCUUUGGUCAACGGCUUGAUCUGGAACGAGAGAGUGAGGGAGGGGUUACUCGAGGGCUAGGGUUGGGUGCGGGGUCAAAGGAGGUCGCGGGGUCGACUUGUAGUCGGGGAAUGGGUGUGGAUGAUCGCCACGCACGACCAUCGCCGGCGGAUGGCUGCCACGCCCCCGCCCCUGUCUCCUGUAGCGAGAGGGAGAUGAUGAGUGGGGGUGGCUGGGCCGCUUUUUGUUUAAUGGGCCAAGUUUCCAGUAGUUUAGGUCCUUUUUUCCAUUUUCUCUUUCCUGUCUUUUCUUUAAUUAGAGCUUGCAAAUGAAUUAUGUUAAAUGUGCAAAUUAGCACAUAAAUAUCAGGUAAUAUUUUGGGCUAGUCCAACAAGUUUCAAUAUUUUUGUCUAGAUUACAUAUUUGUUUAAAUUAUAUUAUUUCAAUAAAAGCUUUAUGGGUCAUUUUUAAAAUAGUCUAGGGGCCUUAUAAUAGUCUAGGGGCAUUAUAAUACUUUGAAAAAUGUAGAUUCUUUCAUGAAAAUUUGUUAGUGAAUAUUUUCAACCUAACCCACAUUUGUAAUUUACCAUUUGAAAACUUUUAUAGUUUGACUUGUUUUUAAAUUAGAAUUUGAACAGGGUUUGAAACAACGUGAGUAUACCAACAGUAAAUGUGUGUGGUGACGUGGCCUCAUUAGUAGAGGGUUACUGUAGCUUAAUUAUCUGGGCGUCACAGACGUCACCGAGCUGAACGUGUGAAGAUCGUGGAGGUGCCGUGCGUUCGGUACUUGAUCGGUUGGAUCGCGAAGACGUUCGACUACAUUAUCCGCGUUACUAAAUGCUUCCGCUUUCGGUCUACAAGGGUACGUAGACACACUCGCCCCUCUUGUUGCUAUGCAUCUCCUAGAUAGAUCUUGCAUGAUCGUAGGAAUUGUUUUGAAAUACUGCAUUCCCCAACAGUGGCAUCUGAGUCAGGUCUAUGCGUAGAUGUUAUAUGCACGAGUAGAACAGAAAGAGUUGUGGGCGAUAAUAGUCAUACUGCUUACCUGCAUUUCAUACUUUAAUUUGGCGGUAUUGUUGGAUGAAGCGGCCCAGACCGACAUUACAUGACCGUGUUCAUGAGACUGGUUCUACCGACGUGCUUCACACACAGGUGGCUAGUGGGUGUCUGUUUCUCCAACUUUAGUUGAAUCGAGUGUGACUACUCCCGGUCCUUGUUGAAGGCUAAAACAGCAUACUUGACGAAAAAUCACUGUGGUUUUGAUGCGUAGGUAAGAACGGUUCUUGCUAAGCCCGUAGCAGCCACGUAAAACUUGGAACAACAAAGUAGAGGACGUCUAACUUGUUUUUGCAGGGUAUGUUGUGAUGUGAUAUGGUCAAGACAUGAUUAUAUAAAUUGUUGUAUGAGAUAAUCAUGUUUUAUAAUAAAGUUAUCGGCAACUGGCAGGAGCCAUACGGUUGUCGCUUUAUUAUAUGAAAUGCAAUCGCCAUGUAAUUGUUUUACUUUAUCAUUAAGCGGAAGCGAUAGUCGUAGAAGCAAUAGUUGGCGAGAUGACAAUGAUGCUUCUUUGGAGAUGAAGGUGUCAAGCCGGUGACGAUGAUGAUCAUGACGGUGCUUUGGAGAUGGAGAUCAAAGGCACAAAAUGAUGUUGGCCAUAUCAUAUCACUUGUUUUGAUUACAUGUGAUGUUUAUCUUUUAUGCAUCUUAUUUUGCUUAGUAUGGCGGUAGCAUUAUAAGAUGAUCUCUCACUAAAUUUCAAGGUAUAAGUGUUCUCCCUGAGUAUGCACUGUUGCUACAGUUCAUCGUGCCGAGACACCACGUGAUGAUCGGGUGCGAUAUGCUCUACGUUCACAUACAACGGGUGCAAGCCAGUUUUGCACAAGCAGAAUACUCAGGUUAAACUUGACGAGCCUAGCAUAUGCAGAUAUGGCCUCGGAACACUAAGGCCGAAAGGUCAAGCAUGAAUCAUAUAGUAGAUAUGAUCAACAUAGUGAUGUUCACCAUUGAAAACUUCUCCAUCUCACGUGAUGAUCGGACAUGGUUUAGUUGAUAUGGAUCACGUGAUCAUUUAGAUGACUAGAGGGAUGUCUAUCUAAGUGGGAGUUCUUAAGUAAUAUGAUUAACUGAACUUUAAUUUAUCAUAAACUUUGUACUUGAUAGUAUUUUGCAUGUCUAUGUUGUUGUAGAUAAAUGGCCCGUGCUACUAUUCCUUUGAAUUUUAAUGCGUCCCUAGAGAAAACUAAGUUGAAAGAUGAUGGUAGAAACUACACGGACUGGGUCCGUAACUUGACGAUUAUCCUCAUUGCUGCACAGAAGAAUUACGUCCUAGAAGCACCGCUAGGUGCAAAGCCCGCUGCAGGAGCAACACCAGAUGUUAUGAACGUUUGGCAGAGCAAAGCUGAUGACUACACGAUAGUUCAGUGUGCCAUGCUUUAUGGCUUAGAAUCGGGACUUCAACGAUGUUUUGAACGUCAUGGAGCAUAUGAGAUGUUCCAGGAGUUGAAGUUAAUAUUUCAAGCAAAUGCCCGAAAUGAGAGAUAUGAAGUCUCCAAUAAGUUCUAUAGCUGCAAGAUGGAGGAGAAUAGUUCUGUCAGUGAACAUAUAUUCAGAAUGUCUGGGUACCACAACCACUUGACUCAACUGGGAGUUAAUCUUCCUGAUGAUAGUGUCAUUGACAAAGUUCUUCAAUCACUGCCACCAAGCUACAAAAGCUUCGUGAUGAACUAUAAUAUGCAAGGGAUGGAUAAGACAAUUCCUGAGCUUUUCGUAAUGCUAAUCGCUGCGGAGGUAGAAAUCAAGAAAGAGCAUCAAGUGUUGAUGGUCAACAAGACCACUAGUUUCAAGAAUAAGGGCAAAGGGAAGAAAGGAAACUUCAAAAAGAACGGCAAACAAGCAAUACUAGGAAAGUGCUUAUAGAUAGAAGUUUACCAGUAGCGCCUGUUUAUGACCCCACGCUACUGGUACUUACCAGUAGUGCUGGGUAGAAAACACGUUACUACUAGUAAAUAACAACAACGUUUGUUAGGUUGGGCCGCGCUGCUGUUACAUGGGCCGCAGCGCAAAAACAGUAGCCCACUUACCUGUAGCGUUUGUUUCGAACGGGCGCUACAGUUGGUGGGCUUAGCAGUAGCGCCGGCCUCUACCCAGCGCUACUACUAGAUGAAAAGAAAACCGGCCCAAGCGCCCCCCACCCCCUCACUCUCACAUUAUCGAUCCCCUUCGCCCGACGCUGCAGCCGCGGUUAGGGUUCCUCCCCGGCCGCCUCACCCCCAUCGACGGCGCCGUGCGCCACCACCACGCGCGGUCGCCUCUUGCCUCCUCCGACGCUCCAGCCCUGUAAGUCCCCCUCGAUCUCCUCCUCCCUGCGCGCGCCACCACUAGCUAGCUAGGCUUCGAUCGAUUCGCCGCGGUGGCUUGCCAUGUUUUGGGAUUUCGCAUGGGGGAAAGGGAUUUAGGGAUUGCAUGGUGGCUCCACGCUUCGAUGCGACGUGCUCCAGGCUUGUUUCCUCGCGUGAUUGGGAGAUAGUAGAGAGAGGGGUUAGGUGAGAGAGAAGUAUAGGCUUUUUGUUGGGCUACGGGAGCGCUACAAGAGAGGUACAGGAGGCGGCGGGAGCUGCUGGACAGCGCGCGGUGGGAGGAGCAGCAGCGAGAGAGCAGGGAGUCGGCGGCGGGCAAGCAGAGGGCUAGGGAGAAGGGGAAGGGGAAGGAGGAGGAGAAUGGCGGAGAGGGUGGCAAGUUGGUGUAGGUUCUGUCCAUUUUUAGCAUGUGACUGGAGAGGCAGUGUGUGUUGACGGUUUAGUGGUGUCCUUGUAGAACACGUAGUCGGUGUCGGUGCCGCUGAGCACGGCCUAGAAGAGCAGCAAGGCCGCCCAACGAGAGCAGCCUGGGGUUAGGUGAGAGGGGUUAGGUGAGAGUAGAGAGAGGGGUUAGGUGAGGAACUAAUCCAGAUGCACAAGUUUGGUCAGUCAAACUUGGUCGAAUCCAGGAGACAGAAAAGGAAGCGGGUAGAGGCGGCAGGGGGGAUUGAGGGCAGCAGAAGGGAGCGAGUGAACUGGCCUGAGCAAGGGGGGAUUAAGGGCAGCAAAAGGGUGGAGGCUUGGUUUCUUCUUCCUUGGCUGCUGUCCCUGGAGCAGUGGCGGCGGCGGCGGUGCCUAGUGUUCUAGGGUUUAUAGAGGGGUUCUCUCUCUCGUCCUGCCUUGGCUUUUGUUUAGUGGCGGCAGCGGCGGUGCCUAGUGUUCUAGGGUUUAGAGAUGGGUUCUCUCUCUCGAUUGAACUACUUUUGCUUGUCUGCUUGCGCAAUAAUGGCAAUAUGCCAUUUAUCGUAUUAUUAGGCUUUGUUUGGGUUACAUGAUCUCUAUUAGGUUAUUGUCUGAACUGAACUACAAUUUAGUUGUUAUUUUGCUUGCCAUGUGAACCUGAUGUGUAUUCUCUAUGAUGUGAACCUGAUGUGUAUAUUAUUCAAAACCUGAUGUGUAUUGAAAACUUUAUGUUUACUUUUUGGAUCGUUAAUCCUUUAAUCAUAUUGCUUUAGGGAAAUGGCGCCACCACCACCACCACCACCAUGUCGAUGGUGCAAGUCAAGGUGCGCCAGCAGCCUUGCAACUGGCACGCUGUUCGACAUCUACUUCGAGUUUAGUUUUCUUCAUGCGGCGGUAAUAAAUUAUAUGAAACUAGUAACCACUAUUUUGUUUUUAGUGUUAUUGGCAUUAAUGCAUCGUGUAUAUACCAUUUUGCUUUUUGUACACAGAUUGUCCCAUGUAAUGUGUGGUCAAAAUUCAACAAGCUGACCGAAGACUCUAUGACCUUUGAGGCUCCUGGGGGCCCCUACACUAUGGAGGUCGAGAAAGGACGAAAUAUGACACGGGUGGGAGGAGAUGGAUGGGUCCGUUUCAUCGCCCACAUGCGUAUCACCGGUGGUGAGUUGAUCAGCUUCUCCUUCAGAGCAGAAAGACCCAAGUUGGCCGUGAUUUAUGUCAACAAAGCAGAAGAUGAUGAGGAUGAUGACGACCCACUUGGUGAAGCCAUCGUUGCUCAAAGAAUGAGGUUGAGAGAGGAGGAGGUGUGCAACCUAUGGGACAUCAUUCCACCACGUGCUGAUUUCGUCGGGGUGCCAUUCGUGACCCGCCUGACAAGUACCAUGGUUGAUCGACAUAUCAUGGUAUGUUGCAUUUACUGUAGUAAUUUGAUGAUAUGCUUUAUUGUUAUACUUAGUGUAGAGUCUGAUGAUAUAUAUGCUUAGUGAAUCUUAUAUGUUUAGUGAAUCUUAUAUGCUUUAUUGUUAUACUUAGUGUAGAGUCCGAUGAUAUAUAUGCUUAGUGAAUCUUAUAUGCUUAGUAAAUCUGAUGAUCUAUAUGCUUAGUGAAUCCGAUGAUUUAUAGGCUUUAUUGUUAUACUUAGUGUAGAGUCUGAUGAUAUAUAUGCUUAGUGAAUCUUAUAUGCUUAGUAAAUCCGAUGAUCUAUAUGCUUAGUGAAUCCGAUGAUAUAUAUGCUUUAUUGUUAUACUUAGUGUAGAGUGUGAUGAUAUAUAUGCUUUAUCGUUAUACUUAGUGUAGAGUCCGAUGAUAUAUAUGCUUAGUGAAUCUUAUAUGCUUAGUGAAUCCGAUGAUAUAUAUGCUUUAUUGUUAUACUUAGUGUAGAGUCCGAUGAUAUAUAUGCUUAGUGAAUCUUAUAUGCUUAGUGAAUCCGAUGAUCUAUAUGCUUAGUGAAUCUGAUGAUAUAUAUGCUUCGUGUAGAAUCCAAAGAACUGUUAAUAGUGUAGAAUUCAUAUAUACUUAUUAGUAGAAUUCAUGCUUAGCAGAAAAUGUAGUAUUGUCUUUUGACAGUGUAGAAUGUGUGAGGCUACUUAUUAAUUGAUAUAUUUUUCUUAUUCAAAAAUUGCCAAAGAGCCUAUCUGAGAGUUGUGGUAUCAAGCCUGAUGAAGAAGGCUCUGCUGGAAUACGCCUUACCGCGAGGGGCUCCAUCACCACUUGUGCGUACGGCGUGGACACGGACGGUCGCACACUCUUCAACUCGGUUGGGUGGAAGAGCUUCCUCGUCGGCAAGAAUCUUUGUUGGACAGGCAAUCCUAAUUACUAUCAGGAACACCCAUCGCCCAGGCUUGAGGAUGAUGGUCGUCAUCGAUAUCAUCUAGAACUACAUAUGCAUGUGUGUGGCUGCUGAACCAUACAUAUGCUAGUAUGACUACCUAGUAGACUUAUCAACUAUGAUCUAUCCAUGCAUUGUUGACUACUAUAUAUGAGUUUGUGAGAUUGUGUGGUUAUAUUAAAUGUGGUAUUGUCGCUAAUGCUUGUGAGAUGGUUCUGUGAACUUAGUUUAUUUGCACUGGACUUGUCUUGAUUUCCAUGAAUAUUGCAUCUGACUCCUUUUUUAUUUUUUAUUUCUAUUUACCUAGUUGUAGCGUGGGGAGAAAAUAGGGCGUUACUACUACGUGAUAAUAGUAGUAGCGUUGGUAGAGAAAGAGGCGCUACUGCUAAGUAUCUUAGCUGCAACGCUUGUUUAGAAAUGUGCUACUGUUAAGUAAUAGUUGUAGCGCCCUAGCAGUAGCGCGGGUGCCCGCACUACUGCUAUGUAAAAAAUCAGCGCCACUUGUAAGGUUUUCUCUAGUAGUGAAGUUGCUGCUCAAGUGAAGAAGCCCAAGUCUGGAGCUAAGCCUGAGACUGAGUGCUUCUACUGCAAAGGGACUGGUCACUGGAAGCGGAACUGCCCCAAGUAUUUGGUGGAUAAGAAGGAUGGCAAAGUGAAAGGUAUAUUUGAUAUACAUGUUAUUGAUGUGUACCUUACUAAUGCUCGCAGUAGCGCUUGGGCACUUGAUACUGGUUCUCUUGCUCAUAUUUGCAACUCGAAAUAGAGGCUACGGAUUAAGCGAAGAUUGGCUAAGGACGAGGUGAUGAUGCACGUGGAAAAUGGUUCCAAAGUCGAUGUGAUCGCGGUCGACACGCUAUCUCUACAUCUACCUUCAGGAUUAGUAUUAGACCUGAAUAAUUGUUAUUUGGUGCUAGCGUUAAGCAUGGACAUUAUAUCUGGAUCUUGUUUGAUGCGAGACGGUUAUUCAUUUAAAUCAGAGAAUAAUGGUUGUUCUAUUUAUAUGAGUAAUAUCUUUUAUGGUCAUGCACCCUUGAUGAGUGGUCUAUUUUUAUUGAAUCUCGAUAGUAGUGAUACACAUAUUCUUAGUAUUGAAGCCAAAAGAUAUAAGUUUAAUAAUGAUAGUGCAACUUAUUUGUGGUACUGCCGUUUAUGUCAUAUUGGUGUAAAGCGCAUGAAGAAACUCCACGCUGAUGGGAUUUUGGAAUCACUUGAUGCUUGCGAACCAUGACUCGUGGGCAAGAUGACUAAGACUCCGUUCUCCGGAACAAUGGAACGAGCAACAGACUUAUUGGAAAUAAUACAUACUGAUGUAUGUGGUCCGAUGAGUGUUGAUGCUCGCAGCAGGUAUCGUUAUUUUCCGACCUUCACAUAUGAUUUGAGCAGAUAAGGGUAUGUCUACUUGAUGAAACAUAAGUCUGAAACAUUUGAAAAGUUCAAAGAAUAUCAGAGUGAAGUGGAAAAUCAUCGUAACAAGAAAAUUAUGUUUCUACAAUCUGAUCGUGGAGGUGAACAUUUGAGUUAUGAGUUUGGUCUUCAUUUGAAACAAUGUAGAAUAGUUUCGCAACUCACGCCACCUGGAACACCACAGCGUAACGGUGUGUCCGAACGUCAUAACCGCACUUUAUUAGAUAUGGUGCGAUCUAUGAUGUCUCUUACUGAUUUACCGCUAUCAUUUUGGGGUUAUACUUUAGACACGGCUGCAGUCACAUUAAAUAGGGCACCAUCGAAAUACAUUGAGACGACACCAUAUGAACUGUGGUUUGGCAAGAAACCCAAAUUGUCAUUUCUUAAAGUUUGGGGCUGCGAUGCUUAUGUGAAAAAACUUCAACCUGAUAAGCUCGAACCCAAAUCGAAUGUGUCUUCAUGGGAUACACAAAGGAGACUAUUGGGUACACCUUCUAUCACAGAUCUGAAGGCAAGAUAUUUGUUUCUAAGAAUGGAUCCUUUCUAGAGAAGGAGUUUCUCUCGAAAGAAGUGAGUGGGAGGAAAGUAGAACUUGAUGAGGUAACUAUACCUUCUCCCUUAUUGGAAAGUAGUUCAUCACAAAAAUCAGUUCCAGUGAUUCCUACACCAAUUAGUGAGGAAGCUAAUGAUGAUGAUCAUGAAACUUCUGAUCAAGUUACUACCAAACCUCGUAGGUCAACCAGAGCAAGAUCCGCACCAGAGUGGUACGGUAAUCCUGUUCUGGAGGUCAUGUUACUUGACCAUGACGAACCUACGAACUAUGAGGAAGCGAUGAUGAGCCCAGAUUCCACAAAAAUGGCUUCAGGCCUUGAAAUCUGAGAUGGGAUCCAUGUAUGGGAACAAAGUGUGGACUUUGGUUGACUUGCCCGUUGAUCGGCAAGCCAUGAAGAACAAAUGAAUCUUCAAGAAGAAGACUGACGUUGACGUUUACUGUCUACAAAGCUCGACUUGUUGCAAAAGGUUUUUGACAAGUUCAAGGAGUUGACUACGAUGAGACCUUCUCACCCGUAGUGAUGCUUAAGUCCGUCCGAAUCAUGUUAGCAAUUGCCGCAUUUUAUGAUUAUGAAAUUUGGCAAAUGGAUGUCAAGACUGCAUUCCUUAAUGGAUAUCUUAAAGAAGAGUUGUAUAUGAUGCAACCGGAAGGUUUUGUCGAUCCAAAAGGUGCUAACAAAGUGUGCAAGCUCUAGCGAUCCAUUGAUGGACUGGUGCAAGCCUCUCGGAGUUGGAAUGUAUACUUUGAUAGUGUGAUCAAAGCAUAUGGUUUUAUACAGACUUUUGGAGAAGCCUCUAUUUACAAGAAAUUGAGUGGGAGCUCCGUAGCAUUUCUAAUAGUAUAUGUGGAUGACAUGUUGUUGAUCGGAAAUGAUACUGAAUUUCUGAAUAGCAUAAAAGUAUACUUGAAUAAGAAUUUUUCAAUGAAAGACCUCGGUGAAGCUGCUUAUAUAUUCAGCAUCAAGAUCUAUAGAGAUAGAUCAAGACGCUUAAUUGGACUUUCACAAAGCACAUACCUUGAUAAAGUUUUGAAGAAGUUCAAAAUGGAUCAAGCAAAGAAAGGGUUCUUGCCUGUGUUACAAGGUGUGAAGUUGAGUCAGACUCAAUGCCCGACCACUACAGAAGAUAGAGAGAAAAUGAAAGUCAUUCCCUAUGCCUCGGCCAUAGGUUCUAUCAUGUAUGCAAUGAUGUGUACCAGACCUGAUGUGUGCCAUGCUAUUAGUUUAGCAGGGAGGUACCAAAGUAAUCUAGGAGUGGAUCACUUGGCAGCGGUCAAGAACAUCCUGAAAUACCUGAAAAGGACUAAGGAUAUGUUUCUCGUUUAUGGAGGUGACAAAGAGCUUGUCGUAAACGGUUACGUCGAUGCAAGCUUUGACACUGAUCCGGAUGACUAUAAGUCACAAACUGGAUACGUAUUUUUAUUGAAUGGUGGAGCUGUUAGUUGGUGCAGUUUUAAGCAGAGCGUCGUGGUGGGAUCUACGUGUGAAGCGGAUUACAUAGCAGCUUUGGAAGCAGCAAAUGAAGGAGUCUGGAUGAAGGAGUUCAUAUCUGAUCUAGGUGUAAUACCUAGUGCAUCGGGUCCAAUGAAAAUCUUUUGUGACAAUACUGGUGCAAUUGCCUUAGCAAAGGAAUCCAGAUUUCACAAGAGAACCAAGCACAUCAAGAGACGCUUCAAUUCCAUCCGCGAUCAAGUCAAGGAGGGAAACAUACAGAUUUGCAAGAUAUAUACGGAUCUGAAUGUUGCAGACCCGUUGACUAAGCCUCUCUCACGAGCAAAACAUGAUCAACACCAAGACUCCAUGGCUGUUAGAAUCAUUACUAUGUAAUGUAGAUUAUUGACUCUAGUGCAAGUGGGAGACUGAAGGAAAUAUGCCCUAGAGGCAAUAAUAAAGUUGUUAUUUAUAUUUCCUUAUAUCAUGAUAAAUGUUUAUUAUUCAUGCUAGAAUUGUAUUAACCGGAAACUUAGUACAUGUGUGAAUACAUAGACAAACAGAAUGUCCCUAGUAUGCCUCUACUUGAAUAGCUCGUUAAUCAAAGAUGGUUAAGUUUCCUAGCUAUGGACAUGUGUUGUCAUUUGAUGAACGGGAUCACAUCAUUAAAGAAUGAUGUGAUGGACUAGACCCAUCCUUUAGCUUAGCACUAUGAUCGUUUAGUUUAUUGCUAUUGCUUUCUUCAUGACUUAUACAUGUUCCUAUGACUAUGAGAUUAUGCAACUCCCGAAUACCGGAGGAACACUUAGUGUGCUAUCAAACGUCACAACAUGACUGGGUGAUUAUAAAGAUGCUCUACAGGUGUCUCCAAUGUUGUUUGUUGAGUUGGCAUAGAUCGUGAUUAGGAUUUGUCACUCCGAUUGUCAGAGAGGUAUCUCUGGGCCCUCUCGGUAAUGCACAUCAAUAUAAUCCUUGCAAGCAAUGUGACUAAUGAGUUAGUUGCGGGAUGAUGCAUUACGGAACGAGUAAAGAGACUUGCCGGUGACGAGAUUGAACUAGGUAUGAUGAUACCGACGAUCGAAUCUCGGGCAAGUAACAUACCGAUGACAAAGGGAACAACGUAUGUUAUUGUGCGGUUUGACCGAUAAAGAUCUUCGUAGAAUAUGUAGGAACCAAUAUGAGCAUCCAUGUUUCAUCAUUGGUUAUUGACCGGAGAUGUGUCUUGGUCAUGUCUACAUAGUUCUCGAAUCCGUAGGAUCCGCACGCUUAACGUUCGAUGACGAUAUGUAUUAUGAGUUAUGUGAUUUAAUGUACCGAAGGUUGUUCGGAGUCCCAGAUGAGAUCACGGACAUGACGAGGAGUCUCUAAAUGGUCGAUACAUAAAUAUUCAUAUACUGGAAGGCUACAUUCGGACACCAGAAUGAUUCGGGUCUUUUCGGAUAAGUUUCGGAGUAUCGGGGGUUACCGGAACCCUCCCGGGAAGUUAUUGGGCCUCAUGGGCCUAAUGGUGGAAGAGAGGAGGAAGGCCAAGGUAUGGCUCGCGCGCCCCUAGCCCAAACCGAAUUGGACUAGGGCUAGGGGCCCGACCCCCUUUCCUUCUCUUCUUCCUCUCCUUCCUUCUUCUCCUACUAGGACUAGGAAAGGGGGGAACCUACUCCUACUAGGAGUAGGAUUCCCCCCUUGGGCGCGCCCCUUGUGGCCGGCCCUUCUCCUCCUCCCCUCCUUUAUAUACGGGGAGGGGGCACCCCAUAGACACACAAGUUGAUCUUUAGCCGCGUGCGGUGCCCCCCUCCACAGUUACACACCUCGGUCAUAUCGUUAUAGUGCUUAGGAGAAGCCCUGCAUCGGUAACUUCAUCAUCACCAUCAACACGCCGUCGUGCUGACGGAACUCACCCUCGCCCUCAGCUGGAUCAAGAGUACGAGGGACUUCACCGAGUUGAACGUGUGCAGAUCGCGGAGGUGCCGUGCGUUCGGUACUUGAUCGGUUGGAUCGCGAAGACAUUCGACUACAUCAUCCGCGUUACUAAACGCUUCCAUUUUCGGUCUACAAGGGUACGUAGAUACACUUUCCCCUCUCGUUGCUAUGCAUCUCCUAGAUAGAUCUUGCGUGAUCGUAGGAAUUUUUUUGAAAUACUGCGUCCCCAACAGGUUCAUACUAAAAUAACACCAUAUGAUACACAUCAACCAACUCUAAUGUCACCUAGAUACUCCAAUGUCACCGCGAGUAUCCAUGAGUUGAUUAUAUGAUAUGCAUCAAACAAUUUCAGAUUCAUAAUACCCAAUCAAACACAAAUAACCUCAAAGAGUGCCCCAAGAUUUCUAUCGGAGAAACAGAGAUGAGAACGUGCAUCAACCCCUAUGCAUAGAUUUCCCCCAUGUCAUCUCGGAAAUCCACGAGUUGAGUGUCAAAACACAUAUCAAGUGAAUCAAUAUGAUACCCCAUUGUCACCACGGGUAUUCAUAGCAAGACAUACAUCAAGUGUUCUCAAAUCCAUAAAAGUAUUCAAUCUGAAAAACAAAAUCUCAAAGAGAAAACUCAAUUUAUCACAACAAGAUAGGGAGGGGAAAACACCAUAUAUCCAACUAUAUUAACAAAGCCUGCGAUACAUCAAGAUCAUGCCAACUCAAGAACACGAGAGAGAGAGAGAGAUUAAACACAUAGCUACCGAUAUAAACCCUCAGUCCCGAGGGUGGACUACUCCCUCCUCAUCAUGGUGGCUACCGGGAUGAUGAAGAUGACCAUCGAUGAUGAUUUUCCCCUCCGGCAGGGUGCCGGAACGGAGUCUAGAUUGGUUUUUCGUGGCUACAAAGGCUUGCAGUGGCGGAACUUCUGAUCUUGGGUUAUUUCUGGAGGUUUAUGUAUUUAUAUGAUUUUUUGAUGUUGGUUUCACGCAAAGAUGGGCCUCGAGGUGAGCACAACCCACCUGGGCGCGCCUAGGUGUCUUGUGCUCAUCUCCUUCAUCUUAUGGUCCUCCCAACGAAGCUUCUAGUGCCUCUUUGGUUCAAAAAAAAUGUUAAAAAGUUUCGUUGCAUUUUGAGAACUUUUAUUUCUGAACAAAAAACAACACCACGGUAGUUCUACUGAAAACAGCGUCAGUCCGGGUUAGUUUCAUGCAAAUCAUGUCAAAACCAUAUAAAAUUGUCGUAAACAUGGCAUGAAUACUUCAUAAAAUAUCGAUACGUUGGAGACGUAUCAGCUAUUUGGGGGCCUUCAAUGGAGCUUGGGUCGAUGCGGGCUUCCGAUGGAUCCGAGGGAGCCCCACUUCAGCGCCUUAAGCGCUACUUAGCGAGCUGGUGCUCAUGCGUAUGCCUGUCGGCCACCACCCAUGCGUAUGCCUGUCGGCCACCACCCAUUAGGUUUGACGUAUGCUGUCUCAAUUGUCUUGCCAUGUUUACUCGUUUCCAUGAAAAAAACAUGAUCCAGAUUUAUUGAUUAAAACAUGUAAAAAUCAUAAAUUCCAAAAAGUUCAAGAAUUUCAAAAAAUAAUAUAUAAUAUAUUAAAAUAUCAUGACUAUGAAAAAUGUUUUGAAUUAAAAAAAAGUUCAUGGAUUCAAAAAAAUUUUGCGAACUUGAAAAUAAGUGUUCACAGAUUUUGAGAAGUUCACAAAUUUUAAAAACCUUGUGAAUUUAAAAACUUCACGAGUUCAAAAAAUAUGAAUUCAAUAAAAGUUCAUGAACUUUCAAAGGAGUUCGUGAAUUUGCAAAAAAUAAUGAAUUUUAGAAAGUUAACAAUUUUAAUAAAUGUUCAUGAAAUCAAUUUUUUUGUGGAAGUGAAAUGUUUGCGAAUUAAAAAAUGGAAAACAAAAAACAUCCUGAAAGGAAACCAACGAAACGACUAAACGGUAACUUCAUAAAUUUCAAGAUGAUAUACCGGCUCAGUCUUUUGGAGGUGCUCAUAGGGAUAGUGUGUGCGUGUGUGCAUUCAUAGAGUGAGUGUAUGCGCGUGUAUAUGAGCGCUUGCAUCUAUAUUGUGUUAAAAAAAGACUAAAUGGGUAGAUACAAAAGACAAGAAAAAGAAAACAAAAACCGGGCGAACGAAAAAUCUAGAUUGUUUCCAAAACCAGAAAUAUCAAACACUGUUUGCCCGUUACGUAGGCCGGCCAAGUCGUCAAAUGAGCGCAGGUAGCACGACAUGCGAGACCUCCUAAUCGGCGCUUACUGCGCCGGUUAGGGGUUUCAUCGCACACGCGCCCACAGAUAUCGUUCAACCCAUCACGCGGCAAUGCGAUCGCUCGUCGGGGCGAACCAGGUUCGCUAGGUUUGGCUAAAAAAAAAAAGUUCGCUAGGUCAACGGUUGGCCACUUGACCGGUCAACCAUUGACGUUUNNNNNNNNNNNNNNNNNNNNNNNNNNNNNNNNNNNNNNNNNNNNNNNNNNNNNNNNNNNNNNNNNNNNNNNNNNNNNNNNNNNNNNNNNNNNNNNNNNNNNNNNNNNNNNNNNNNNNNNNNNNNNNNNNNNNNNNNNNNNNNNNNNNNNNNNNNNNNNNNNAAAUAAAUCAAUCAUUUGAAAAAAGUUUACCGAUUUUGAAAAAAGCGGAUUUGAGCGAAGUUCAUCAAUUUUUAAAAAACACAAUUUUUUAUAUAAAAUCCCGGAUUUGGAAAAAGUUGAAUGAGUUUGAAACAAAAGUUCAUGAAUUUGGAAAAAGUUUCAGAUUUUGGAACUUUUCAUAAUUUUAGAUUUUUAUAUGAAUUUGAAUAUAUUCAUGCAUUUGAAAAAAACAUUAUGGGUUUUUAAUUAACAUCUUUUAAAAAAUAGUUCAUAAAUUUGAAAAAAGUUCAUGAAUUUGAAGAAACUUAAACUUGCGCAUGUAAAAAAGAAAAAUAGGAAAAUAAAAGAACGAAAAAGGAAAAUUAAUAAUGAAAACAAAAACAAAAACAAAAACAC